rnacentral:lncRNA from 1 species
CAAGCUCAGAGUUGGAUCAUGGGGCCUGAUCGAAAGAAUGGGCUUGUUGGUCCCUAAAGCGGGGUGGACUGCGUAAGGCUGGUUUCACAGAGCAACGAAUAGCUCCCGCUCUGUGCAGUGGAAGGACAACGGGCUGGUGUCUUUCAAGUCCAGUAACACCUGAUGGGCUGCUCCAAUUAAACCACCACUUUUUUUCGGAUCUUGGUUUCACUGCUAUGCGACGUAGGCCCCUGGAAGUCAAUAUCGAAUAAAGGAAGAGGAGUGUGAUAGAUAUGUGGCCGGCAUAAAAUUCAUGAAGAAUCCUCAUAUAAUACAUAUGUCAUGAACUCGAACUUAAAUGAAAAAGCAUGUUCAUCGAAAAUUCAUAUAGUUAGUUGAUUCCAACUCAUUUAGUACUGAGAUGUAGCUUUUAUUGUAUAAUUGAUAUUUAAAAUUAAAUAGGAAAAUCAUGGCUGAUCAGGAUUCAUAUAUUUGAUCCUUACUUAUUUGAGACACGGACAUGAAUCAUAACUCAUAAGUGGCAGUACACAUUUCAUCAUUAGUAAAUAACCUGUUUUUCUCGUUCGCGUCCUGGAACUUUCUCUUCUGCUCCAAAAAAUUGUCUUGCUUGAGGUGGGGGCAGCACGCCGCUUCUUCUUAGGUUUACUCUAGCAUGUCGUUGGUUUGUUUUGUGUCACAUCCAGCAUCUUUUCGAUUGCAGAAGAAAAUGUGGAUUGUCCAACAGGAAUGGCAAUGCCAUAAGAAAAGCUUUAGGUCCUCCUGUUAUAUAUAAGCAAUGCUAUUAGAAUUGGUGGAAGCGCCCAACCGUAGGACCGGAGAACCUGCACUGCAUUAACCAACUGGUAUACUCCAUUAACCAACCAUUUACAGGAAGAUCGACUGAAACUCAUCGAAAAUUCCAGAAGAAUAAUGUUGAAUUUUGAUAAUUCUCUAGAAAAAAUCCGUUCUUUUUUUUCAACAACUCAAAUCUCUUCUGCAACCUAUGCCUGCAUUAUCAUGAGCAUCUAUGCAAAAGACUGGUUAGAGAUCUCCUAUUUUUCACUUAACAGAAGUUAUUUUGGAGUGGUCUUACCAAAGAAUUCUCAUGUUGAGAGCCGAAGACAUAAAUGGUUAGCUUCUUUACUGCUGUUUUCAUCGAUGUUGACUUACAAUGAUCAAUGUUACUGUCCCAUUUUGAUUCAAGAAUACCUUCAGCAGAGAAAUGUAAACACUCACACGAGUGUGACAUCGCAGUUUCCUGGAUGCAAUGAAUUUGAUGACAUGCCCGCAAGAUUCACAGAAGUGUAGUAUUAGAUUUCCAUAAUAAUAAAAGCAAUUUUUCCUAAGAAAGAAAGGAAGAAUUUGUCCCACACUGCAAUGCAACAGAAACUUUUUGUACUUUUUAAUACAAUGCAAGAGACUGCUGCUUGCUGAGCUCAGUAAUGUGGGCUUGUUACCCAAAUGGGGGCAUUAAUGUGGUGGGAUGUUGGGCAUUCCCAAAUGGUUGGACUUGGUGGGCUAGUUUCUGGCCUGCCCUAUCCAAGCACAGAGUUGGAUCACGGGGCCUAAUUGAAAGAAUGGGUUUCUUGAUCCCUAAAGCGGGGUGGACUGCGUGAGGCUGGCUUCACAGAGCAACGAAUAGCUCCCGCUCUGUGCAGUGGAAGGACAACGGGCUGGUGUCUUUCAAGUCCAGUAACGCCUGAUGGGCUGCUCCAGUUAAACCACCUCUUUUUUCGUGGUCUCUACAAGUUAUUUUGACAAAUUCAAUUUUAAACUAGUAUCAUGUUGGCCUUCCUACAGUUGUAGGAGGAGUUGGCAGACUGUAAAUUUGUAGAUUGGUGAAGAAUCCUCAUUUUGUACGUAUGAUAUGACUUGAGCUUAAAUAGAGAAACGUGGUCAUUGAUGAUUCAUAUAGUUGAUUCCAAGUCGUUUAGGAACGAGACAAAGUUGUUAUUAUAGAAUGCUUGUUUGAGAUUGAAUUUCAAUGAAAAAAUAUAAUUAGUGAGGAUUUUGGUACUACAUAUGCAGCUGAUAAAGAUAAACAAACUGGUGUUGUUGUAGAUGUUAGAUUAGAUUUUGUAUGUAUCUCAACUAUUCGACAAAGGUGAUAGAAAGUGAAAUGACACCAGGUAGUUAGUUUUAGGGCCGAUUUUUAGAACCUUUUUAUAAUACAUACAACAUGAGUUGAGUUUAAAUGCAGAAACAUGAUCGUUGGUGAUUCACAAAGCCGGUCUCAGCUCAUCUAGAACCGAAAUGUAGUUGUCAUCGUAAAAUGCUGGUCUGAGAUUGAAUUUAAAUGAGAAAACAUGGUUAGUGAGAAUUCAUAUAUGACCGAUACCCUUACUUAUUCGUCAUUGCGUAGAGGAAGGAGAUAGAAUGGAGUGGCAGAAGGAUAGUGCAGGUAAAUGGUAUGAAGAACUUGAUUAGUAUAAUUGUUUUGUUCAAUUAUUCUAUCAAGAUCUUUACAUUGAGGUGUCAUUGUACCGCGUUCAGAUCUAGUCUUAAAAGGAGAAGCCUUAAUGACUUCGUUCGAGUAGGAAAUGUUUAGUCCUUCUAAAGGAGGAGUUACGGAUUCUACCACAGUGUUUCUCUGAGUGUACCAUUUGGUAACGAUANNNNNNNNNNNNNNNNNNNNNNNNNNNNNNNNNNNNNNNNNNNNNNNNNNNNNNNNNNNNNNNNNNNNNNNNNNNNNNNNNNNNNNNNNNNNNNNNNNNNNNNNNNNNNNNNNNNNNNNNNNNNNNNNNNNNNNNNNNNNNNNNNNNNNNNNNNNNNNNNNNNNNNNNNNNNNNNNNNNNNNNNNNNNNNNNNNNNNNNNNNNNNNNNNNNNNNNNNNNNNNNNNNNNNNNNNNNNNNNNNNNNNNNNNNNNNNNNNNNNNNNNNNNNNNNNNNNNNNNNNNNNNNNNNNNNNNNNNNNNNNNNNNNNNNNNNNNNNNNNNNNNNNNNNNNNNNNNNNNNNNNNNNNNNNNNNNNNNNNNNNNNNNNNNNNNNNNNNNNNNNNNNNNNNNNNNNNNNNNNNNNNNNNNNNNNNNNNNNNNNNNNNNNNNNNNNNNNNNNNNNNNNNNNNNNNNNNNNNNNNNNNNNNNNNNNNNNNNNNNNNNNNNNNNNNNNNNNNNNNNNNNNNNNNNNNNNNNNNNNNNNNNNNNNNNNNNNNNNNNNNNNNNNNNNNNNNNNNNNNNNNNNNNNNNNNNNNNNNNNNNNNNNNNNNNNNNNNNNNNNNNNNNNNNNNNNNNNNNNNNNNNNNNNNNNNNNNNNNNNNNNNNNNNNNNNNNNNNNNNNNNNNNNNNNNNNNNNNNNNNNNNNNNNNNNNNNNNNNNNNNNNNNNNNNNNNNNNNNNNNNNNNNNNNNNNNNNNNNNNNNNNNNNNNNNNNNNNUUAGGAUCAUUUAUAUCUACCGAGAAGUUUGGGUAACAAUUAAAGUAAACCGGACCGUCGGCGAGGUUACUUUGAAUUACUCCUAAGAGAGAGUCGUCAAAAUUCAGCAGACGAGCAUCUCGUAGGAGAGCACAGACAGGGAUAUCUAAUCCUUGUCGGAAAAGAGGCUUAAUAGCAACUUGAACAAGUCCAACAUGAAGAUAAUUAAACUGAUUUUUAAAUCUGUUUAUAUCUAAUUCGUUGAACAGUUGAAUAAUUUCUAAAGAAUUAUUAAUAGCGACAGUAGACUCAGAGGUCUUGAUAUUAUGUUUUUUCAAAAAACUAAAUUUUCCAAUUUGGUAAAUAGCAUUGAAAGAUUCUUCUGGAAUACUCCAGUUUUGAAGAUCAUUUUCAAUAGUAGCAAUCGGAGUUGCUUGAGAAGAUAAAUUAACAGUAUUUUUAACGUGACUAUUCAUCAAUUAAACAAAACUGUCUAGAGCAUGAGCAGAAAACGGAUCGUAGAAACUCUAAGUUAAAAGCGUGAUUAAAAGCGUGAUAAUAACAAAACAGAGAUAUAAUAUAUAGGAAAUAGAGAGAUAAAACUUACAAGUUUAUUUAGAAAAACAUUACAAGAGAUUACAGGAGAUUAGGCAAGGAGAAUUUCUAAAGUGGGGAAAUUUCUGAAUGCCUUCUCUAAAGGAUAACAAAGCCUUUUAUAGGCCAAGGGGAUACAUCAAGUGUAAAAGAGGGGUACAUCUAGCAUACAGAUGGACGGAUGUGAUUCUACCGACAAAGAAGAGUGUUUGCUUUUGAAAAGCAAAAGUGAGUGGGUUGUCUCUUUUUCUUUUUGAAAAGUAGUGGUUGCUUUUUGAAAAGCAGUCCAUGUGCCUGUGACAGCUGUGAUCCUAGAUUCCUGUUAGGAAUAGUGAUUUGCCCUCUCAAAAAGAUAAUUCCGGCCCUUUGGACCUCUAUCCUUUUGAAGGGUCGUUUUCCUAUUCAUAAUAGGGAUCAAGGUAGGCCAUAGCAAUCCCUUGGGGAUCUAGCAUAUCGCCAUUGUCAUUGCUGCUACCGGUAGAAGAGGCCUCUACAAUAAGUUGCAGUAAUUCUUCUGUAUCAUUAGUAGUGUCUGGUCCAUCUAAUUUGGCCAACACCUGCUUUAGUUUUUCUUUGAGAGCCUUCUUGGAAGAGGAAGGGCGAGGAGAAGCUGCUGCAGAUAUUCCUUUGUCAGGAGUUCUGGAAGCAGUUGGCUUGGGAGUCCAACCCUUAAUUUUGAUUUCUUUUGACAAGUAUUUAAUCCUGUGCUGUUCUUCCUUAGAGAAGUUCCAGGAUAUAAUAUAAGAUAUUCGUUUCUUGAUAAAAAACUUGCACAUUUGAAUGUGCUCUGGUAAUGUAGAGCAACCUUCCUUAACUAAGAAGUCUGGAAGCCGAUUGUGAAAUUGUUGGGGAAGAACUCCUUUAGUUCCUCCAAAGCAAAUCCACCAUUCAUAGAACCAUCGGGGUAUGAUGGCUUCCAUCAUGGCAGGGCAAUAUUUUACAAACCACGUAUGUCCUGGACGAACAAAUAGAAAGUUGAACCAUGCUGACUUGUAGUCAUACCAAUUAAAUGUCUGAGGCCUGUGUGGCAUUGACAAGGCAACUGGGGUAUGUAGGUGAUCUACAAACCAAUUGAAGGGGGUUAAUACCCUCUUGAUGGUAAAUUUUGAAUAGCUAAUGUAGUCUGGAUUACGAUUGUCCAUUGAAUGUUCUACCUCAAUGGAGUCUGUAUCGACUAGAAUAGCUUCAUAGAAUCGGCGAGUUUUGAGUGGAUCUUCAGUGUCCACAAAAUUGUUGUUGUUGUAUACCGGCUUGAUUAGCUGACUGAUUGGGUAGCUUUCAUAAGCUUUGUCUAGAGCGAUGAUGGGCAUUACUUGAGUAGUAAUAAAUUUAAAUUCUUCCUUAGUAGGAGAGGAUGGGGUAGCUUUGACUGCUGUGGGAUCAACUGCUUGUGCGAAAGUUUCUGGGGCCUUCAUGGCGUAACUUUGUUUGGUUUGAACCGAGGAAGAGCUUGCUGAGGACUCUUUGUUUAGGGGUAAAUUUGUCUUUAGAUCUACCAAUUUCGUUGGAAUUGGUGGUGGGAGCUUAGGAAACUGGACCUCUGUCAAAGCAGAGUAUUUAUUUUGGACCUCCGUUUUGAUUGUAGGCUUCUGCGGAACCGUAGGCCUUAGUGGAUUUGUAGAGGCUGGAGAGUCGAAUGGUCUAGCCAUUCUUUGUUGUUCUGUUUUGGGGCUAUUGCCCGGAUUUGUUGGUCUCAUGGCCCUGUAAAAAUUCUCUUGUUAGAAAAUCGGGAAGGGAGUUAUUUUCUCCUUUAAUAAAUUCAAUUUGAAAAUCAAAGCUAGAUAGGAGAGCUUGCCAUCUAGCAAAUAUUUGUUUGGAAACAAGAUUUUUAACAUCCUUUUGUAAAAUUUCUUUAGCUGAUUUGCAAUCAACUCGAAGAAGAAAUUCCUUGUUAAUAAGGUCAUCUUGAAAUUUGGUGAUACAUAGCACUAUAGACAAAAUUUCCUUUUUGACUGUGCUGUAGUUUUUCUGGGUCGUAUUCCAUACUCCAGAGGUGAAUCGAACUAAUUGUUCAGGAGAUUUAUCCUCUACCUUUUGCUUCAGGAUACCUCCAUAUCCUAUAUCCGAAGCAUCAGUCUCUACAAUCAUAAAGGCAUCAGGAUUGGGGAUACCGAGACAGGGAAGAUUUUUAACUAGUGAUUUAAUCUUUAUGAUUGCAUUGGUUUGGGCAGGACUCCACGGAACUGGGUUUUUCUUAAGACGCUUAUAGAGGGGCUCACAGACCUGCCUAAUAUUGGGGAUAAAAUCAGCAACGUAAUUGAGGCUUCCUAAGAACCUUUGGAGUUGAGUUUUAUCAGUAAUUUCAUCAGGGAAUUUGGUAGAGAAUUCUAUUGCCCUACAAAUAGGUUUCUGACUCCCUUGAUGCAAAUCAUGACCCAAAAAGUGGAUGGAAGUUUGAAAAAGCUUCAUCUUCUUAGUACUUACAACAAGACCGUUUAAUUUUAUGAUCUUAAAGAAAGUAUUGAGAUGUUUAAAAUGAGAAUCAAUGUUGUUAGAAAAAAUUAAUACAUCAACAAUGUAAACAAUUGCCAUGUAAGAAUAAUCAUUGAAAAUGUUAUUCAUAAUAUUCUGAAACUCAGAGGGAGCAUUUUUAAGUCCAAAAGGUAAGACAUUCCAUUCGUAGUGCCCAAAAGGGACAUUGAAGGCCGUCUUAUAUUUAUCUUUUUCAGCGAUUUGAAUUUGCCAGAAACCUGACUUCAUAUCAAAUUUACUAUAAAGAUUGGCUUUAUAAGUCCGUUUAAGAAGAUCCCUUUUAUUAGGGAUUGGAUGUCUGAUCCACUUUAGGACAGCGUUCAAAGGCUUGUAAUUUAUUACAAGCCUAGGAGUCCCUCGUUCCUUUUCAGCACUAUUGUUUACAUAGAAUGCUGAACAACUCCAAGGGGAGUUAGAAGGUCUAAUGAUCUCCUUCUCGAGAAGGUAGUUGAUUUCUGUUUUACAGAUCUCCAUCAUCUCGUGAUUCAUUUGGAUAGGUCUGGCUUUGGUUGGGAUGUUUUGUUCAUCGAAGCCAGGGAUGUAGGGAAGUUCUACGAGAUGUUUCUUGCGUUCCCAAAAGGCAUUUGGCAAUUCAGAGCAAAUCUCAUUCUCGAACUUCUUUUGGAGAAUAGAUAUUUUGCUAAUCAUCUCCGGGGUUUUUAAAGUUUGCUCAAUAUGUUGGAGCUGAACAUCAUUUUUCAAAAAGUUAAGAUGGGAAGAAAGUCGAUGAAUUUUAAAAACAGUUUCGUCUUUGAUGCGCUGCUGUUCGUUGGAAGAGAGCGGACGAAGUAAAGGGAAAAAUAGUUCAGUAUCCAACAAAGUUGUGCGAAUACCAUCGUAGUCACUUUGGUAAGGUCGGAUCUGAUUUAUAAAAGGAAUUCCUAGAAUGAUAUCUUCCGUGAUAUCUUCUGUGAUGACAAAGUCAUUAAUAAGGCAGACGCCGUUAUUACAGACGUGAGCUUUUCGAAGCUGAUAAUUAAUUCGCAUUUUUUCGCCGGUGGCAGAAUAUAGUCGUGAGGUACUCUUUUGGAGAUAUCGAGUGGGUAUGAGGCCUUUGACAAUACAGUUACUGUCGGCACCAGUGUCGAAUAGAGCAACUUUUUUUAUUACAAAUUCUUUGUCAAUAACAAUGUUGACUACAAUGUGUUCACUGUAAGCCUUAAUGGCUGCUACAGUGGUAGAGGUGGAAGGAAUAGCAGGAGUUUCUUCACCAGGAAAGGAAAUGUGUUCUUUGAGAUGAUCAGUUGGAAUACUGAUAUGAGGAGUAGGAAGAAGAGCCUUGGGUGAGGCGGAUUGUAAGACUUGUUCUGUUAGAACAUGUAGUUCCACCUGAUCAAGUCGGACCUUAAGGUUCUUGAUUUCUCCUUUCAAGGUGGAGAUUUCACCCUUAAGUUCUGCUAUAGAGGGUUCAGAAGGAGUAUUAAAUUUAGCCAUAACUCUUGUCAUGGAGAAAGGCUGAAUAAUAGGUUUUGGUUUAGAAGUGCCUUCGUCGUGAGAAAGCAUAAUACGUUUGAGCUCUUGAAGGUACUUAUUUCUAAGUUCCUCGUCGUCAAUAUGUUCAAUGAUGUCAAACAAAAUCUCUUUUGGUUUGUCGGUAAUGACAUUGAUGAUUUUCCUUGAGCAAGUACAGAAAGUGCCAUUGCACUCACAAUCUUGCCCUGAUUGGGAGCUAUCAGACUCAUAAGCGGCAUUAAUAAAAUCUUCAUCGCUGUAUUCGUCCUCGGAAGAGGAAUAAGAGUCUGAGACUUCAGAGGUGUCGUCCAUAAUGGAGAAAAGCUUUUCUCUGGUUUCGUCCGUUAGAUCAAGUGAAUUGAUCUUUUUCUUUUUGCCGGAUGUACAAUCCUUUGCCCUAUGGCCGGUUUUGCCACAAGUCCAGCAAGUAUCUUUGGAUUUUGUGAACGAUUUGCGCCUAGAUUUUCGGCGAGGUUUAUUCGACUCCUUAUAGGAAGUCUUCUUUUGCGGAUAAGGCUUUUUGUGACGUCUAGAGGGCAUCCUCUUGUGCCUUUUACUGUCUUUGAGAUCAGUAAAGCCGUAAUCGUGACAGAAGGUUGUCAGACCAUAUUUACUAUUCUGCUUAAGUUGUUGCUUAAGUUUAAGGUCUGUACAGAGUUCCAUACCCGUAGUGGUGAUGAAACUUACUAAGUCUCCAUAGGUAAGAAUGUUGUAAGGAAUUUGACCCUCGAAUCUAUCCUUAAGUUUUGUUCGGACUUUAUCUGCAAAUAAUGGGGGAAGACCACUGAUGAAUCUUUCUUUCCAGAAGUCAUUAUUGCAGUCGGGUCUGAUCAUAACCUUAAUAAGGAAGGUAUCUUUAUACCACCUAAAGUCUGCAAGGUUUUUGCAACGAAGGUUAUUAAGGAUUUCGAGACUCCUAUCUUGGAAGAGUUUUGGUUCUCCUACAAAAUGCUAGCUAUGUGGUAAAGAAGGGUUGCACAGGCAUCUUCUUGUGCUUCUUGAACCAGGGUUUCUUGGCCAUCUACUGUUCGAGCCACCUGUUCAAGGACUGUGGCGUUGUAAAUGAGGUUUUUCUCAUCCUCCGAGACAUAAUUGUCCCACCAGUGUUUUAGCAUACCGGUAAAACCCGAGACAACCAUGGUGGCGGCUCCUUUGUCAGAGGAACCUUUGAUUUUGUAGGCCGUGAUGGCAACAGCUAUCUCAUGGAGUUUAUUGUAGAUCUGAUGUUCGGCCAGACCAUCAAUAUUCCAUUCGGUUAUGCCUCGCCCAUCAUGAUUAGAUGUGGAGAGGUAAGGAUUUUCUUCAAACUGGACGUCAGGGGGAGAAGGUUUUCGAUAAUAGUUUUUUCUAGUGGAAAACCGUUCACUAGUAAGUUUAGAGAGAGAAUUCUUUACUUUAGAACUGGAGGAGUCUUUAGAGCUAGAGGGCUCUUGAGAAACUUUGAACUUGGUGAGUUUGGAGUUGAUUUUUUCCAAAAUUUGCUCAGACAAUUUAAAAUCAUCAUUCAAGUUUGGAAACUUAUCCUUGUGAAAUUCCGAGAGUUUGAAGAUAGGAUUUGAAAGAGGUUUAGAGCUUGGAGUGCUCUUAACCGGUAAAGGGGCAGAAAGAGGAGGACUCUUGGUGUCCUCUAUCUGUUGGGAAAUGGUAUGAAGAACUUGAUUAGUAUAAUUGUUUUGUUCAAUUAUUCUAUCAAGAUCUUUACAUUGAGGUGUCAUUGUACCGCGUUCAGAUCUAGUCUUAAAAGGAGAAGCCUUAAUGACUUCGUUCGAGUAGGAAAUGUUUAGUCCUUCUAAAGGAGGAGUUACGGAUUCUACCACAGUGUUUCUCUGAGUGUACCAUUUGGUAACGAUAACAUUAAGGGAGUCUGUUUGGUUUUCUAUCUUUCCAGUUUUUUCAAACCAGAAGAAGAAUUCCAUGUCGCAUCGGAGUCUUUUCAUGUCGACUAUCCAUAGCCUACCAAACUCCUUCUGUUCUUCCGGAGAAUAAGUACUUCCGUACCAUCUCCUUUUGAGAGUAUCUUUCGGAUGGUUCCAUCGGACCUUUAAGGCCUGUAGAUCCGGGACAUAUUCUUCAUUAGUAGACCGGAUGACGAAUAGGCUAGGAUCGGUUCGGACUCUUUGAGGAGGAGCCAUUUCGAAGGCUGAAGGGCUUCCUGGCUCAUAAAGAUUUGGUUCUUUGACCUUUGUGUUUUGGUAAUAGACCUUAGGGAUAGGACCAGAGUAGUCAACUCCUCUAAUCGUUCCCUUGUCAUUACUGACAUCGUGAUCGUUAUGUUCACGUUCUGUUCUGGAAGAAGAGGCACGUGUAGAGACGGACCUGCGAGAGGAAGAGAGCCGAGAAGGGUCGACCCCUAGGAACUUCAGGUCUAUCGAUCCAUCAGGGUGUUGAAUCACCCUUUCGAUCUGGGAUUGUUCGGAGUAACUCCGGACAGGGGGGGUGAUAGCCUCAAAAUGCCAAUCAUUACUGUGGAGGAUAUCAUCCCAAACUAGAGCCUUUGGAACAAAAACUGUGCUACGAUCUUUGUUUGCUUCCAUCAGGGUGGUGACCCCUUUAGGGCUCGUGAACCUAGCUUUAGGGGCUAGAGUAGUACCCAUAAGUCGAUAAUAUACUCGGUAUAUUAUCGCUAUUUCUCGUGUAUUAUCCUUACUAUUCAUGUUUUUUGUUUUAACAUUCAAUGUUAAAACAUCCAUGAUGUUAGGAUCAUUUAUAUCUACCGAGAAGUUUGGGUAACAAUUAAAGUAAACUGGACCGUCGGCGAGGUUACUUUGAAUUACUCCUAAGAGAGAGUCGUCAAAAUUCAGCAGACGAGCAUCUCGUAGGAGAGCACAGACAGGGAUAUCUAAUCCUUGUCGGAAAAGAGGCUUAAUAGCAACUUGAACAAGUCCAACAUGAAGAUAAUUAAACUGAUUUUUAAAUCUGUUUAUAUCUAAUUCGUUGAACAGUUGAAUAAUUUCUAAAGAAUUAUUAAUAGCGACAGUAGACUCAGAGGUCUUGAUAUUAUGUUUUUUCAAAAAACUAANNNNNNNNNNNNNNNNNNNNNNNNNNNNNNNNNNNNNNNNNNNNNNNNNNNNNNNNNNNNNNNNNNNNNNNNNGAUAUAAAUGAUCCUAACAUCAUGGAUGUUUUAACACUGAAUGUUAAAACAAAAAACAUGAAUAGUAAGGAUAAUACUCGAGAAAUAGCGAUCAUAUUACCGCCUCAUGGGUACUACCCUAGCCCCUAAAGCUAGGUUCACAAGCCCUAAAGGGGUCACCACCCUAAUGGAAGCAAACAAAGAUCGUAGCACAGUCUUUGUUCCAAAGGCUCUAGUUUGGAAUGAUAUCCUCCAUAGUAAUGAUUGGCAUUUUGAGGCUAUCACCCAUCCUAUUCGGAUUUACUUCGAGCAAUCCCAGAUCGAAAGAGUAAUUCAACACCCAGAUGGAUCUAUCGACCUGAAAUUCCUCGGGGUCGACCCAUCUCGGCUCUCUUCCUCUCGCAGGUCCGUUUCUACGAUCCUAAGCUUACGACCUACUUUCAGGCUGACCAACGUCUUCAUCGGGGAUUAAUCGGUUCCGUUAAAACACUUAAACAGUACAUAGACACCCCGAACUUGAAUUAACACUCCAUUAUAAGACAAGACAUAAUAACAUAAUUAAAAUUUAGGUAAAGCAUACCAGAUUAAAAUAAUAUGGUCAUGUAUAAACAUAAUUUUGCUCAUGCUCUAGACAGAUUAUAUGUUUAGCUGCUCAUGCUGAACAUAUAAUCUGCCAACAUGGCUCUGAUACCAGAAAACGGAUCGUAGAAACUACUAUGUUAAAAGCACAAUAAAAGCAUAAAAUUACCAAAGAAAACAGAGAUAAAAACUUACAAGUUUAUUUAGAAAAACAUUACAAGAUUGAUUACAGGAGAUUGGGCAGAGAGAAUUUCUAGAGUUCGGAAAUUUCUGAAUGCCUUCUCUAAAAACUAAUCAAAGCCUUAUAUAGGCAAUAGGGGAUACAUCAAGUGUAAAGAAGGGAUACAUCUAGCGUACAGAUGGACGGUUAUGAUUCUACCGACAAAGAUGAGUGUUUGCUUUUUUGAAAAGCAAAAGUGAUUGGUUUGCUUUUGAAAAGCAGUCUAUAUGCUUUAGACAGCUGGGGUUUGCUUUUUUGAAAAGCUAUCCAGAGGUUUUAGACAGCUGUGGUCCUGGAUUCCUGUUAGGAAUAGUAAAUUGCCCUUUCGAAGAGAUAAUUCCGGUUCUUUGAACCUCUAUCUCUUUGAAGGGUUAUUUUCCUAUUCAUAAUAGGGAUCAAGGUAGGCCAUAGCAAUCCCCUUGGGAUCUAACAUAUCGCCAUUUUCGUCGCUGCUACCGGUGGAUGAGGUUUCUGCAAUGAGUUGCAGUAAUUCUUCUGUAUUAUCCGUAGUAUCUGGUCCAUCUAAUUUGGCCAAUGCUUGCUUUAAUUUCUCCUUGAGGGCCUUCUUGGAAGAAGAAGGGCUGGGAGAAGCUGCUGCAGAUAUUCCUUUGUCAGGAGUUUUAGAAGUGGUUGGCUUGGGAGUCCAACCCUUAAUCUUGAUUUCUUUUGAUAAAUAUUUAAUCCUGUGCUGCUCUUCUUUGGAGAAGUUCCAGGAUAUAAUAUAAGAUACUCGAAUCCUCAUAUAAUACAUAUGUCAUGAACUCGAACUUAAAUGAAAAAGCAUGUUCAUCGAAAAUUCAUAUAGUUAGUUGAUUCCAACUCAUUUAGUACUGAGAUGUAGCUUUUAUUGUAUAAUUGAUAUUUAAAAUUAAAUAGGAAAAUCAUGGCUGAUCAGGAUUCAUAUAUUUGAUCCUUACUUAUUUGAGACACGGACAUGAAUCAUAACUCAUAAGUGGCAGUACACAUUUCAUCAUUAGUAAAUAACCUGUUUUUCUCGUUCGCGUCCUGGAACUUUCUCUUCUGCUCCAAAAAAUUGUCUUGCUUGAGGUGGGGGCAGCACGCCGCUUCUUCUUAGGUUUACUCUAGCAUGUCGUUGGUUUGUUUUGUGUCACAUCCAGCAUCUUUUCGAUUGCAGAAGAAAAUGUGGAUUGUCCAACAGGAAUGGCAAUGCCAUAAGAAAAGCUUUAGGUCCUCCUGUUAUAUAUAAGCAAUGCUAUUAGAAUUGGUGGAAGCGCCCAACCGUAGGACCGGAGAACCUGCACUGCAUUAACCAACUGGUAUACUCCAUUAACCAACCAUUUACAGGAAGAUCGACUGAAACUCAUCGAAAAUUCCAGAAGAAUAAUGUUGAAUUUUGAUAAUUCUCUAGAAAAAAUCCGUUCUUUUUUUUCAACAACUCAAAUCUCUUCUGCAACCUAUGCCUGCAUUAUCAUGAGCAUCUAUGCAAAAGACUGGUUAGAGAUCUCCUAUUUUUCACUUAACAGAAGUUAUUUUGGAGUGGUCUUACCAAAGAAUUCUCAUGUUGAGAGCCGAAGACAUAAAUGGUUAGCUUCUUUACUGCUGUUUUCAUCGAUGUUGACUUACAAUGAUCAAUGUUACUGUCCCAUUUUGAUUCAAGAAUACCUUCAGCAGAGAAAUGUAAACACUCACACGAGUGUGACAUCGCAGUUUCCUGGAUGCAAUGAAUUUGAUGACAUGCCCGCAAGAUUCACAGAAGUGUAGUAUUAGAUUUCCAUAAUAAUAAAAGCAAUUUUUCCUAAGAAAGAAAGGAAGAAUUUGUCCCACACUGCAAUGCAACAGAAACUUUUUGUACUUUUUAAUACAAUGCAAGAGACUGCUGCUUGCUGAGCUCAGUAAUGUGGGCUUGUUACCCAAAUGGGGGCAUUAAUGUGGUGGGAUGUUGGGCAUUCCCAAAUGGUUGGACUUGGUGGGCUAGUUUCUGGCCUGCCCUAUCCAAGCACAGAGUUGGAUCACGGGGCCUAAUUGAAAGAAUGGGUUUCUUGAUCCCUAAAGCGGGGUGGACUGCGUGAGGCUGGCUUCACAGAGCAACGAAUAGCUCCCGCUCUGUGCAGUGGAAGGACAACGGGCUGGUGUCUUUCAAGUCCAGUAACGCCUGAUGGGCUGCUCCAGUUAAACCACCUCUUUUUUCGUGGUCUCUACAAGUUAUUUUGACAAAUUCAAUUUUAAACUAGUAUCAUGUUGGCCUUCCUACAGUUGUAGGAGGAGUUGGCAGACUGUAAAUUUGUAGAUUGGUGAAGAAUCCUCAUUUUGUACGUAUGAUAUGACUUGAGCUUAAAUAGAGAAACGUGGUCAUUGAUGAUUCAUAUAGUUGAUUCCAAGUCGUUUAGGAACGAGACAAAGUUGUUAUUAUAGAAUGCUUGUUUGAGAUUGAAUUUCAAUGAAAAAAUAUAAUUAGUGAGGAUUUUGGUACUACAUAUGCAGCUGAUAAAGAUAAACAAACUGGUGUUGUUGUAGAUGUUAGAUUAGAUUUUGUAUGUAUCUCAACUAUUCGACAAAGGUGAUAGAAAGUGAAAUGACACCAGGUAGUUAGUUUUAGGGCCGAUUUUUAGAACCUUUUUAUAAUACAUACAACAUGAGUUGAGUUUAAAUGGAGAAACAUGAUCGUUGGUGAUUCACAAAGCCGGUCUCAGCUCAUCUAGAACCGAAAUGUAGUUGUCAUCGUAAAAUGCUGGUCUGACAUUGAAUUUAAAUGAGAAAACAUGGUUAGUGAGAAUUCAUAUAUGACCGAUACCCUUACUUAUUCGUCAUUGCGUAGAGGAAGGAGAUAGAAUGGAGUGGCAGAAGGAUAGUGCAGGUAAAUUCUCAAUCAGCUCACCAUACAAUGGAAGAUGAUCUCGAAAUUUAAUUAAGUUCAGUUUUUGCUGUCCAAAAUUCAGUGUUUUCAGCUCGAAAUGAAUAUUAGUUAUAUUAAUUUUGUAUUAUCGUAUUAGAUUUACAUAAUAAGAUAACCAUUUGGGAUUUGUCGCACAUUGCUUUAAAACAGAAACUUUUGUUACUUUAUAAUAGAAUGCAAAAGAGCUCUGCAUGCCGAGCUCAGUAAUGUGGGCUUGUAACCCAAAUGGGGGCAUUAAUGUGGUGGAUGUUGGGCUGUCUCAGAUGGUUGGACUUGGUGGGCUAGCAGCCCUAUCCAAGCACUGAGUUGGAUCAGGGGAUCCUGAUCGAAGGAAUGGGCUUCUUGAUUCCUAAAGUGGGGUGGACUGCGCGAGGCUGGUUUCACAGAGCAACGAACAGCUCCCACUCUGUGCAGUGGAAGGACAACAGGCUAGAGUCUGUCAAGUUCAGUAACACGCCUGAUGGGCUGCUCCAAUUAAACCACCACUUUUGGCCGGGAACUAUUUUUUAUUUUGAAUACCACUAAUCUAAAAAAUGGCUUGUUGUAACCGUACUUGGUUUGAGCUAUUAUCACACUUCAUGUUAAAAUAGCAUUUGAAAGCUUCUUAGAAAUGGUCAACCAAGGAGUUUGUUGCCGAUAGGAUAGAUGGACGAUAAAGAUCUAUGUAAGAUGAGUAAUUCUAAUGCAAGUGCAAAAGUUGAAAACUUCAAAUGCUUUUUAACUAGUAUACUGUUGGGUCGCUAAUCGGUUUCAUACAUGAUAAAGUAAGAGGGUUGUGGUCUGCGCAAAACUUGUCGAUUGGAGAGGAAUCUUAUACAUACAACAUGACUUGAGCUUACAUGGAGCUAUGAUGAUUCAUAAAGCCAGUCUCAACUCAUCUAGAGCCGAAAUGUAGUUGUUAUCGUACAGUGCUGGUUUGAGAUUGAAUUUAAAUGAAAAAUAGGGUUAAUGAGGAUUCAUACGACUGACGUCAGUAUUAUUGACACUACCAAGUUGUAAUCAGACGUCAGUCAUAUGAACCAUUUGGUGCUCAACAGAACGAAUACGAGCCACAUUCUCAAGAAUGUGGAACUAAAGACUAAUCACAUAAAUGGUUAGCUUCUUUAUAGUUGUUUUGACUGAUGAUCAGUGAAUGCAGUACUUUAAUCUAAAUUAACAAUUUCCUAUCUUGUAGUUGUUAAAAUUCAGAUCAAUCUCUGUCAACUUACGAUAAAACUACAAUAACCAAAAACAGCUUCUUUAAUUUCAUCAGCAUUCAUGAAACAGACAAGAAGCAACAACGACAUAACCAGUGACAUCCCAUAAGUGGGGUUUGGGGAAGGUAGAGUGUACACGAAUCUUACCACUGCGUCGUGGAGGUAGAGAGGCUGUUUCUGGAAGACUCUCGGCUCAAGUGCAACAAAUCCAAGUACGGCACAAACAAGAAGGAUUAAACAAAAUCAUGCCAUUCUUGUUCAUGACAUUAACGUAUAACGAUUAAUGUUACUGUCCAUUUUCCGGGAUGCAGUGAAGUUGUAUGAUAUGCCUGCAAGAUUCAGGGAAGUGCAGUAUUAGAUUAUACAUAAUGAAAGCAUUUUUUUUCUUUCUUUCCUAAGAAAGAAAUGAAGUAUUUGUCCCACACUGCAAUGCAAGAGAAACCUUUUGUACUUUUUAGUACAAUGCAAGAGGAUACUGCUUGCUGAGCUCGGUAAUGUGGGCUUGUAACCCAAAUGGAGACAUUAAUGCGGUGGAAUGCUGGGCUGUCCCAGAUGGUUUAAUGCGGUGGAAUGCUGGGCUGUCCCAGAUGGUUGGGCAUGACGGGCUAGUUUCUGGCCUGCCCUAUCCAAGCAUGGAGUCAGAUGCAUGACGGGCUAGUUUCUGGCCUGCCCUAUCCAAGCAUGGAGUUAGAUCACAGAGCCUGAUCAAAAGAAUGGGCUCCUUGAUUCCUAAAGCGGGGUGUACUGUGUGAGGCUGGUCUCACAGAGCAAUGAACAGCUCUCACUCUGUGCAGUGGCCGGACAACAGGCCGGUGCCUUAUCACGUCCAGUAACGCUGCUCCAAUUAGACCACCACUUUUUUUUGUCUUACGGACUUGGCCCAACCUAUUUUUCAUAGAUUGCUUUUGAAAUAUCAUGGUUACUUUUACUGUUUCCCGUUAAAGUUUCUGCACAGAUUCCUCCUAUUUUUAGGCACUCUUUAAUUUUUGUCCUUACGUCUUUGUCCGAUCUAAGUUGUGUAAUAUCAAAUUCGUAAGGUACAAGUUUAGAGGCAAGGUGAACUUUUUUGUAGAAAUAAAUUAUAUCCCUUAAUGACCUAGAUUCUGAAACUAAACUAAUGCCUCUAUCAACAUAAGUUCUCUGUGUAAUUUUCUUAUAGGCAAAAGUUAAAAGAACCAUCUAUUUAAUGAGCAACGAUUAAAGACCAUCCCAAAGAGAGGCAUUCAUGUGAAUCAACAUAUGAUUUCAGUUAUAUACAUUUUUACUAUUGGUGAAAUAAGAAAUAAUUUGAAAUAUUACUUUUUAAAAUGGGUUGGGCGUUGAGGUGACAUGUUACGUGAUAUCAAUCUCAUCAAAAUCUACUAUAAGGGGAGUAGGUAAAGGCUAAGGGGGUUUAUUUGAAUUCAACAAAAAGUUAUACUGUAUAUACAUGGUUAAAAUAAUUUCUAUCGCACCUCCUUAGCUUCAUUGUUUGUGUACUUUUUCAUAUUUUAAAUCCGUUUAAUGAAAAUUUCAACUUCCAAUUGUAUCUACUUGGACACCCAUAACGGAGAAGACGUAUAUUUAAACUGCAACAGAAAGAUAUUUUUGGACCGAUAGUAUACAAAGGUAAAAUAUAGCAAUCACUUCGUUCUUACAAAAAAAAAAAAACUUAAAAAUUUAUUUGAAUUGACUUAUUUUAACUACUUUCAAGUUAAAAUCGCGUUUGAACCCGUAUGGACAUUGACCGAAAUGAAAGGUAAAUCUGCAUAUAAUAAGUUCUUGUGAUUCGAUUCCUUCUCGAAAUCCAGCAUAGCGGGAGCUUUAAUACACUAACUAUCCUUUUAUUUACUUAAAAAAAUGCUUUAAAAACAAACAAACAAAAAAGCUGCUAAAAGAAUCUGAUUUGAUAUUUAUUUGUGGCGCAGAACACUUGUGGCAGAUACACACACGCCAAAGUCUAGUUAAGAACAACAAUGGCAUUUCUUAGUGGAACACUAUCUACUUUACCUUUCAAACUUUACACUCGUUCUUCUUCUUCACAACAACAACAAGGUUCUAUUUCUCUACGUUUUAAUUUGUUCGUCUUAAUUUUCUGUUUAGUCUGUUUAAUAAAAUGUCUAUUUACAUUAUUAACAACUUCUUAGUUAUAACUUUCCUUGUGUCAUGUGUUAUUUAUUAUAUUAGAUACGGUGUUAAGUCAAAAUCAGAUAAACAAAUUGAAACGGACGGAGUAAUAGUUUUAGUAUGAGUUUUAAGAAAAGAAGUUAAGUUUUGUUUGUUAAUGUUUAUUGAUUUACUGAACAGAUACAAAUCAAAAUACAAAAUCACUGAAAAUUAGAGAAGAUUGGAGGAAAAAAUCUCGACCUAUUCCUCCUGGUGGGACUUAUCCAGCUAAAGAUCACUGCAGGUUCAUAAUUCUGUUUAUUUUUUUAUUUUUUUUUUAAUAAUUUUAAAGUUAAAGUUUAGCUUUACUGAUCUAAUAGAAGAUAAAUUGAGUAUCUUGUUGGAAUAUUUAAAGUAGAGUUUUAACUAAAAAAAAUACUAGGUGAUUCUUCCUAGACAGAUAGAGUUACCUAAUAUGAGGUGUCAGGUAUCCCACGGAUUUAAUCGAGAAACAAAAAGAGUGGCAGUUAAACUUAAUUAGUACUCUCUCCGCCCAAUUUAUGUUAUGUAGUUUGACUGGACAUGGAGUUAAAGAAAUAUGGGAAGAUUUUGGGAUGUUUCAAACAAUCCUUAUUCCUUAAACUAUUGUGGCAUUAAAUGUUUGCCAAAUAAGUAAAAGUGUCGUUCUUUUUGGGACCGACUAAAACGGUACGUGUGUAAUGUAAAUUGGGAAACAGGGAGUAGUACUUCUUGAUAAGUUUUCUAUUUUUUUAACUUUGUUUGGUUGGUUAGGAUGGUGAAGAAGUUGUGGAGAGAUGAGUAAAAUGAGGGUCUCAUUUUAUUUUCAUCGUCAACGAUUAUUGAUAAGAAAUGAACCUUGGCCUAACUUAGCUCGCUUAUGAGGUAAGAAUUCUCCAAAACUAUAUAAGGAGACCAUUUAUUAUGAAUAUGUGUGCUUUCCUCCGCUGUAUAUUCCUGCAUUCCUUCUUUACUCUGUUUUAUAUUCCUUAUGGGUGCCGUAUCUAUGUUAUGUCAUCUGCUUCUGUGCUGUACUAUGUGUUUGUGUGAUAUCUCGUGACUUGAGCCGGGGGUCUUUCGGAAACAGCCUUUCUACUUCAUCAGAGGUAGAGGUAUGGACUGCGUACAUCUUACCCCCCCAGACCCCACUAAGUGGGAAUACACUGGGUUUGUUGUUGUUGAAGUCUGGCAUCGCGCUGCCGAUGUGGGGCUCAACAAUAAUAAUAAUAAGGGGGCCAAACAUUAAGUAAAGUAAUAAUUGGGAUGUGUCCAACUCUGUUACUGUUAUGAGAAAUGUAUUUGAGCGUAACUCAUCCCUAAAAGCUAGCUCAUGAGACAAUGUUUUUCCAAAACCAUAUAAGAGAACCAAGUUCCCAAUCCCACUGCCGACGUGGGACUCAAUAAUUUUGUAUUUGGAAAGUUAUUAUUUAGGAAACUAUUGUGGUUAAUUUUCAUGAAUUUCAUAAUAAAUGUGAAGGAAUUGUAGAUGUAAGUAUGUGGAGAUUGGACAUUAUUUUGGCAUGAAGUGAAAAAAGAAUGUGAAAUAUUCAAUUUGUAAAGGAGGAAGCAUUUCAUUAGAUCUUUGAAGCAUCGUAGCUUUCUGUCCAAAUUAGCUAAGCAUGUGAAAAUGGUUUAGCUAUUUCCUGUGUAAAACCUGGAAAGGACUUUGGUUGUACUCAAUUCGUCCUAAGUUGGGUCAAAUUUAGUAGGACAGCGAAAAAAAAGAGUGUUGUUAUAUUUUAAGCUUGCUAGGAAUGAUGAAGUAGUUCUUGGAAGACUGAAAUAUAAGUGCUGAUGUUGACAAGAAUGCCAUACAUAAUAAGUAAUAUAAUUAUAUAAUAAGUUAAUGUUUUUGAGGAUUAUAAGUUAGUCUCAUCUUUAACCAUUCAUCCUCAUACUUAUUUUAUUAACUGCUUGUAGAUUUUGUGAAGGAGGCUAAGUUAGCAGUUACAGCGGCUAAGACGGCAGCAUUUGAGAGCUUGUAUACGGGGUUACAGGAGAAAGGGGGGAAAAAGGUUGUUUAGACUCGCUAAGGCUAGGGAGAGGAAGGGACGUGACCUCGAUCAGGUGAAGUGCAUUAAGGGGGAGGAUGGUACAGUGUUGAUGGAGGACGGCCACAUUAAGAAUAAAUGGCAGUCGUAUUUUCAUAGGCUCUUGAAUGACGAAAGGGAUAGAGUUAUUGUGUUAGGGGAGCUGGAGCACUCAGAGGAGUGUCAGGAUUUUAGUUAUUGUAGACGUUUUAAGGUAGAGGAGGUUAGAGAGGCUGUUCGCAGGAUGGAGAACCAGUUUGGAUUUAUGCCCCGCCGCUCGACGACGGAGGCAAUUCACCUGGUGCGGAGGCUGGUGGAACAGUAUAGGGAAAGGAAGAAGGACCUGCACAUGGUGUUUAUCGACUUGGAGAAGGCAUACGAUAAAGUCCCCAGGGAGGUACUUUGGAGAUGCUUCGAGGUGAGUGGAGUCCCGGUGGCAUAUAUCAGAGUAAUUAAGGACAUGUAUGAUGGAGCUAAAACCCAUGUGAGGACGGCGGGAGGAGACUCAGAGCAUUUCACUGUCUUGAUAGAAUUGCAUCAGGGAUCUACUCUUAGUCCCUUUUUGUUUGCUUUGGUGAUGGAUGUGUUGACGCGGCGUAUUCAAGGAGAGGUGUCUUGGUGUAUGCUUUUUUGCAGAUGAUGUAGUUUUGAUUAAUGAGACGCGGGGGGUGUGAAUGAUAAAUUAGAGGUGUGGAGACAAACUCUUGAGUCUAAAGGGUUCAGGUUGAGUAGGAGCAAGACAGAAUAUUUGGAAUGCAAGUUUAAUGACGUGCGGCCGAAGAAUGAGGUGGUAGUGAAGUUGGAAUCACAGGUGGUAUGUAAGAAGGAUAGUUUCAAGUAUCUCGGGUCCGUGAUUCAGGGUAACGGUGAGAUUGACGAGGAUGCCUCGCACCGUAUUGGGGCGGGAUGGAUGAAGUGGAAGCUCGCUUCGAGGGUGUUGUGUGAUANNNNNNNNNNNNNNNNNNNNNNNNNNNNNNNNNNNNNNNNNNNNNNNNNNNNNNNNNNNNNNNNNNNNNNNNNNNNNNNNNNNNNNNNNNNNNNNNNNNNNNNNNNNNNNNNNNNNNNNNNNNNNNNNNNNNNNNNNNNNNNNNNNNNNNNNNNNNNNNNNNNNNNNNNNNNNNNNNNNNNNNNNNNNNNNNNNNNNNNNNNNNNNNNNNNNNNNNNNNNNNNNNNNNNNNNNNNNNNNNNNNNNNNNNNNNNNNNNNNNNNNNNNNNNNNNNNNNNNNNNNNNNNNNNNNNNNNNNNNNNNNNNNNNNNNNNNNNNNNNNNNNNNNNNNNNNNNNNNNNNNNNNNNNNNNNNNNNNNNNNNNNNNNNNNNNNNNNNNNNNNNNNNNNNNNNNNNNNNNNNNNNNNNNNNNNNNNNNNNNNNNNNNNNNNNNNNNNNNNNNNNNNNNNNNNNNNNNNNNNNNNNNNNNNNNNNNNNNNNNNNNNNNNNNNNNNNNNNNNNNNNNNNNNNNNNNNNNNNNNNNNNNNNNNNNNNNNNNNNNNNNNNNNNNNNGGGAGAGGUGAUUAGGCGGGACAUGGAGCAGUUACAGCUCACUGAGGACAUGACCCUAGAUAGGAAGAUCUGGAGGACGUGAAUUAGGGCAGAAGGCUAGGGUCAGUUUGGGUCGCUAGUGUAGGGCAUUACUUGGUGGGGGUAUUAUUCUUGUUAUAAUACCUUGUUUCAUGCUUUAUUACGAAUGUGUUUACUUUUCUCUGUUUACUAUUACUUGUGGGUGUCGUAUUUAUGUUAUGCCAUCUUGUCCCAUGCUUUACUAUGAAUUUGUUUAUUAUUCCGUGUCUCGAGCCGGGGGUCUAUUGAAAACAGCCUUUCUACUUCUUUAGAGGUAGAGGUAUGGACUGCGUACAUCUUACCCUCCCCAGACCUCACUAUGUGGGAAUACACUGGGUUUGUUGUUGUUGUUGUUGUAAAUUUUCUGACGAUUUCGUAAUCACUAGUAGUUUUUUGUCUGAUGAUAGUAUAAUGUUUUCUCGUUUGCAGCCAUUGUGGUUUGUGCGACACUUACUACAUCGCUCAUGUCAAGAAUGCAUGUGCUUUCUUGGGGGAUGGCAUGUCUAGAAUUGAAGUGAGUCUUUUUCUGCUUUUGUUCAUGUCAUGAUACUGUUUGUUUUAGUUGCAGUUCUUAUUGUUUAUGCCUGUUUUUCAUUCCUUAAGGUGGUCAUAAAUGACUGACUUGAGUUUGAUUAUUGCAUUCUUCCAUUGUCAAAUGCAGAUUUUCCCUGUGAAUUUCGGUUUUGUCUUUUGUGUCCUUUCAUAUGCGGGUAGUACAGCAAUGCUUGCUGUGAUAUUGCAGUGUGCUGUCGAAGUCAUAAGAAAAGUUUGCAAGCUAGAUUAGAUGUUCAGACUUGAGAGAGAGUGCUGGUUCUUGCUCACUGAUACCGCAUAAUCCACUCUUAGCUUGUGUAAAAUUGAGUUCAUCUCUCUUUGGUCACGCUACUUUCAUUAAAAUCCAUUUUGUAGGGAGCAUGAGAUAUUUUUAUACUUAGUACUAGGAAAAGUUGCAUGCUGUAACUUGAUGGGUUCUCGGUUCUCCUGUCCGCAACCUCGACCGGAAGUCCCGAACUAAUCUUUGCACAAGCAUGUUUGACUUUUAUUUUUCUGUUUCACUCUCUUGGGUAGAGGUAUGCUGCUUCGAAUGUUGAAAAGAUAUGGGAAUAAAUGAUGUUUUAAGCAUUACUAUGAUCUAUAAAUAACACAAGGUACCGGGUACAUAUAUUGGACCAUCAUAAGACUGGUUUCUCUAGUUGUUAACAUAAGCAUCGUACUGAGAUAAAUGGAUUGGAUAAUGUUAUACCGAACCACACCAUGGUCUGCGUCUAAUAGGACUCCUCAUAGGGAAAUGGGAAAUGUUCAUAGACCUCCAUCAAGGUCUUCCUACAUCUAUUUUUUUUUUCUUUUUUUUUUGUUUAAUAAUUCAUACAGCCAAUCAUAGUUUACAGUUGCAUCAUAAUCCAUGACAUGUCAAAAACUUUUUACCCAAUUCUGUACAAACUUCUUUUUCUUCUUUUGUCCUCUUUGAGAUUCAAAAGUAGGACAUUGUCCGAAGAAACUUGGUAAAGUUUGAAAACUUGUCCUGUUUUAGUUUGGCUGGUGGGUGGAGGGUGAUGGGGGGGUGCAUAUUUGUUCUUCUAUGAGAAAAAAUGAUUUGACUACUCACGGAAAAACUUCAGUGCUAGCUAUGAGUGGCACUUCCUUGGAAUCUGCUCUCUAGUCAAAUUUAUAUGAAGUAGUUCAAAGUAACCAGAUAAUGCAGACUGUUUCUUACAUCUUCUUUUUGAAACCGACUGUUCCUUACAUCUUCUUCAGGAUUUGGAACCUAUAGUCCAUGGACGAGGACGGAAAGAAGAUUCCUUGGAUGAGACUUAUAUGGGGGUGUAUGAGAACCUAUUGUAUGCCCGUAAAACUAAGCCUGUGGAAGGUACAACUUUGGGUGCUCUUAUGUUGUAUUGUAGUUCGAACAUAUAAUUGUUUGUUUUCUUGUGCUCCUCUAGGUCAUUAAAGGAAUGUGUUUGUUUCGUGCAAGAUCUAUCAGAUUUUUCUUUGAGUGAGUUUUUACUGUGGGCCAAUUUCUUAUGAACCAUCUGGGAUUCUUAUUCUUUUCUUUUCUUUCUGGCGUUCAGGUGCUCAAUGGACGGGGAUAGUGACAACUAUUGCUGUGGAGAUGCUAAAAACUGGGAUGGUGGAAGCUGUUAUUUGUGUUCAGAGGUAUGGCUUGCAUCCAAUGAUGGAAUUUGAAGGAUUCUCUACUUAUUUUUUUUUAUUGAAAAAAACUAAUAGUGAAGUAUAGAAUUUGACUUCUUCAUUUUUCUGCAAAUUGCUUCGUUCAUGUUUUUUUUGGGAUUCUUUUUUCUACUUAUUAUUCAGCAAUUCAUGGACUCUUAUCUUCUUUUUUACGGUGUUUUAGUGAUCCGGAAGAUCGAUUUACUCCCCGACCUGUCCUGGCAAGGUUUGUGACUGGAAUUUCUGUGCUAUUUUAUUUAAAUGUUGAUAUUCUAGUGGUUAAUUUAAUCAUUUCCCUCCUCCUCUCUACUUUCAUGUUUCUGAUAGGACUCCAGAGGAAGUUAUAGCAGCUAAAGGUGUUAAGCCGACACUGUCUCCUAAUCUAAAUACUCUUGCCUUAGUUGAGGUUUCUUCUUUCACUUCCAUUAACAUCAGAAUCUUUGCUUGUUUUCUGUUGUCAACAAUGCAUUUAUAACAUGUGUCACUCUAUCGAAUUUCUAAAAGGAUCAUGUUAUCAUGGAUUGAAGAUGUCUUAUCUCUUCUCCAUAGGUGAUUGGAACUUGUGUAGCUAUGCUUUGUAAUUUCCCCAAUUGGGGAUUUCAUUAAGAACAGCUUUUGCUUUUUUGAUUUGUUUUAUAUGAUGGUUCGAGCUGAGUUCCUUUCCCUGAUAAUGUCAGAGUCUUUUUGUCAAAUGUUUCCUCUCUUUCCUUUGGUAGGGUCGUAGGCUCCUUUUUUGACUUCGUUUUAAUCAUGUGAGAUGGCUUUGCCCCAAGUGCCUUCUCCCUUUUCUUUGGGAAGUAUCAGGCUCUUUCGUCCAUUCCCAACCACAUGCAUUUUACACUUCUAACUGUAGGCUUCUAAUUUUUUUCUUCUCAUAACAAUGCAAACCAUAGAACUCAGCACUUUCUACUCAUGCAUGCUCUAAUGCGUUAUAAUUUGGAUUUUAAGAGAUUCCUGUUUUCACUGAGGACUGUUGUGCGAGUUUAAAGUAUGUUUUUCCUGGAAACAGGCAGCUGGUGUGAAGCGCCUUCUCUUCUGUGGUGUUGGAUGCCAAGUUCAAGGUAUUCGUGCUGUUAUGAUCUCUUCGUCUCUCCUUUAAAGCUGUCGUUUGUCAUUAUUUCUCUGUAUCAUAAGCAGAACAAUUUCCUAACUUGCAGCUUUAAGAUCAGUGGAACAAUAUUUGAAUCUGGAGAAGCUUUAUGUACUAGGCACUAACUGUGGUAAGUGUCAAUGGCAUUCAUGGAAUCCUUUCACAUCUUUGAUUAUGUCGUAUAUAGCUACCAACUGCUAGAAAUUUGACAACGGUAGCAAUUAUGUCUGUUUGGACAAAGAUUUAAUCUAUUUCUUUUUGAUAAAUAAAAAGUUUGGUCUAUUAACAUCACCCGGGGAAGUCCUUGUUUGUUGUUGGUAUCCCAAAAAAGACUAAAAAUGGAAAUUUUCCAGUUCGUCCACCACAGAAGAAGGGAGGGAAAAUAAGACAUAUCGUAAUUAGAUAAACUGGAUAAGAUUCAAUGGAAUCUUUUAUGAUAUAUAGUAAGUGGGAUGCUCGAUAUACUGCUUUUUAUUAGAAUCUCUUUUUCCCUCUUAGGCUUUCUUUAGCCCAUAUAGACCUAUACUAACAUUUGUUUUGUGACAGUGGAUAAUGGACCACGAGAAGGCUUGGAUAAGUUUCUGAAGGCUGCUAGCAGUGAACCUGAAACAGUUCUCCACUAUGAGUUUAUGCAAGACUACAAGGUGUGCUCAUAUGUGCUUCGUCACCCUCCUAGAUGUAUUUCGACAGUUGAUCCUAUAAAACCAUAUUUUAGCUUUCUACUUUUAUUAUGAUUUAGAGGAUAUACUAUAGAAUUACAUGUGAUAGUUUUCUAAUCAGUUGAAGCACCUUUCUAAGUUCUACAUUUCAACAGGUCCAUCUGAAGCAUUUGGAUGGCCAUAUUGAAGAGGUACAAUAGUGUGUUCUUUUUCGUAUCUUUUGUUUUAGCUGAAUGCUCUUUAUUCAGAUCUAUAUUUCACUAAGCAGGUUCCCUAUUUCUGUUUACCAGCAAAUGAUUUAGUUGAUGUCAUUGCGCCAUCUUGUUAUAGGUAUGUCGACUGCUUAUUCUUGAUUUGCUGAAGGCUUUAAACAAUACCAUGUCUGAAUAUAUUCUUUCUUUGUUCCUUGUCUCUGUGUUUGUGGAAAUGAUUCUUUUUUCCCUCUAUGAAUGAUCUAAUUAGUCAAUCAACUAUACUGCAAUCCUAAAUUAGUUUGGGCGGCUUAUAUGAAUCCUCUGUAUCCAUUGCGCUCUGUGAAGCUCUUUACAAGUCUUUAACUAUGAUAAAAAGGCUCUUGACAAGCACUAGAUCUAAUGCAAGUGUAGUAGCAAUAACUAUGCCUGAAUGACUGAAUCCUAGCUAGUUGGUAUCACCUAUAUGGAUACUGCUUUUUUCCACUGUGUUAUGUUCUUAACUAGCCUGGGUUUGAUAAGAAAGAUUAUUGGUUUUCUGAAGCUGCUUCUCCUUAGGUUUACCAUUCUCUUAAUCACUUUCAAUCACUGUAUUGUUAUACCUUUAGACCACCUCAUAUGGAAGUUUAUGUGGUAUGUAGUCAAACCGUCUUGGGCGACAUUCUCAAAUUGCUCUCUAAGCGAGCUACCUACACGAUCUAUCGGAUAUGAUUUUUGAAAAAAUCAUGUGUUAAUUACUUGAAAAAUUAUUGCAUGCCAACCGGUCUACUCUUAUAGAAGUUCGUAAAAUGGAACUUCCCAUCUCAUUUUUGGACCCACUUAUGAAUCAAAAGAACCUAAGAUCUCAAUAAUGCUUUUAAUCUCUUUGCUUAGUCGAACCGUUCUUGAUACUUUGUUCAUGGAGUAAGGGUAAAAAUCUGUGGAACAAAAUUGAUGUGCAGACAAAGAUUUUGUAGAUUAACAGACUUGAUGACAAACAAAAUCUUCUGCAAUGGUCUUUCUCCCUAAAUCCUAAUAGUUCAUAUAUUUAGUAUCCGAUUACAUUUUAUUGGAAAAAUUCCUUCACUUUUGGAGCAUAAACUAGGGACAAAGUAUAUAUAAGCUUGUUAGUAUGUGCACAAGGUAGUGUCAUGGGCUUAUCACGUUCUGCAUGAUUUCUGGUUCUUACUUGUAAGUUGUCGCCUUUUAUAUGGACAAUUGGGUUAAAUCAAUUCGAUAAGCCAUGUAAAACUGAUUGUAGUUGAGUUUGUUGCAUAUAGUAGCAUUCCCUGCCGUAUCAAUUUACGAAAUAAAGAAAUCAAUCAAACUAAUUAAACAUUAUUUCAGAAAAUGUCAACAUUAGCUGUUCUACAGAAGUCCUAAAGGCUCAAGGUAAAGAGGCUGUCUAGUUGUAGAAGUCUGAAUGAACAUUCUAUACAAGUUUAAUGUUUCCCAUAUUCUCCUUUAAUCAUAUAUUUCAUUAUCUUGUCUCUAGAUCUUUGGAAUAUGAACUUGUGCUGAUCUGUAAACUGUUCUUUCCUUCUAUAUUACAGCUGUUUUGACUACACAAAUGGCUUGGCGGUGAGUUCUCUGUCCACAAUUAAAGGCCCUGAUAUAUUGUAUAAUACAGUUUUCACAAAGAAUGCUGAGAAUGAAACAUCAUAAGUUUUCUCUUCAAGGUUUCUAGGAAAUCUUAUCAUUAAAGAUUCGAUGCUGCAUAUCUAAUUAUCCAUGACAAUUAUAUUUUCUCCUUAAAAGAUUUAUCAGUCGAUGUCCUGUACAGUAGUUUCCAAACAUUACCAUUUCAGAUUAUUUCUCUGAAUAAAAGCUAAGCUUAAUAUCCCCGUGCAUGCCAACAUUUCAAAUCUUAUCUUCAAGGAACUUUUCAGGAUUUGGUGGUGGGAUACAUGGGUGUGCCGAAAUAUAGUGGAAUUAGCAUGAUGCAGCAUCCCCAGUAUGUUACUGUCAGGUAAAGUAUUGCCAAAUCUUUUAAGCCUUUGACAGGAUAACUAAAGGACGUGUUGUUUGCUCUACCCUCGAAUAAUCUUGUUUAAGAGAUACUUUUGCACAUUCCAAAUGCAGAAAUGAACGCGGUAGAGAAAUGCUAAACCUUAUCGAGAACCUUUUGGAAAUUACUCCAACGAUAAGUAGUGUAAUACAUGAUGCUCCAUCUCACAACUUUGCCCUUAAACUCUUUUCUAAUACUAUACUUAUUUCAGAGCAUGCAUCUUAUUUUCAGGGUAACCGGCGUCCAUUUGUCAUGGAAACCGUGAAGGCAGAUGAUGAAGCAAAAUUUGGUAUGUGGUAUCUCGUGAUAUUUAUUCAUUUCAUAAGUAGUUACUAAGCAGGCUCUCUCUGUACCCUUGCUGCCAUGUUCAUUUAGAAUUUGAUAUCUGCUCUCGGGUUUUGUACUGUUCUUUGGCAGAUCCAUGUGCGGGUCUCAACCAUCUGAGUUUUAUUCCAUCCUUUUUCCCUUCAAUAUUGUUGAAAAGUAGAAACUUAAAGCGAUUAGGCAACGUAAUUUUUGCUUGUUCAAGUUAUGCACCAUUUGACUAAUUUAUCACUAUGGUUGGAGCACCCUUAAUUUAUGGCCAGCUGGCACACACCUCGACUACUUCCCGGAGAGACCUGCUAGGCUCCUACCUUUUAUCUACUUCUAUAGUACGUUACAGAAGUCUCAUCGACUGUUUAUGUUGGCCUAAGGUUAACCUUAAUUUAUUAUGAUCAUUACAAGUCAAGGGGAUUUGGCUAUUUAAGUUGCUUAACAGCUUCAAUUAUUUGUUAUGAUACUUAUGGUUGAUUACAAAAUGCUGAAGGCAGAAUCUCAAGAAGUAAAUUCUUUCCUGUCAUGAUCUUGAAGUAAAUAUUUUUGGAACACCUUCUCCAUGAUCUUCACAAGACUCACGCAGAAACUUUCUGAAUUUCCAGGAAGAGGUCCUUCUCAGCCUGCUCCAAAGUUUGUUGGAAAUCUGAUUGCAUUUCUUCUCAACAUAGUAAGAUCUUUUUGUUAAUUUCAGAAGCGAUAACAAAUUCCCUGUGCUUAAACUUGGUUCUCUGGGUUCAGGUCGGACCAAAGGGCCUAGAAUUUGCCCGUUACUCGCUAGAUUACCACACAAUCAGAAAUUAUUUACACGUAGUCCGCAAAUGGGGAAAACAAAGGUUUGUAGAAAUUCAUAUUUGUUUCGGUAUGAGGGGAUACACUCAUGUUUUCCUCUCUCACUAUUGUGUUCUUUUGUGAAAUUGCAGAGCUGACAGACAUAUGCCAGAAUAUUCAAAGAAAAUUGUCACCAUGUACAACCAGAGUGGAGAAAUUGAUCAAAUGCUUUCCAAAAAGUGAAUAAUUUGAUAGCGGAACUUUGGUGUUUGCAGCUCAAGCUUUGGUGAACAAAGUUAUCCAGUACCUAUGCUGAAGGGAGGUCGCAGCCUAGCAGGUAUCUCCGGGAAGUAGUCGAGGUACGUGCAAGCUGGCUAGGACACCACGGUUAUCAAUAAAACUUUGGUGAUUGCUACUCCUCAUGUACGUAUAUGAUGUCAAAUUAAACAUGAAUCUGAAUCAACUCUUUUCGAUAGAGCCAGUGUAAUUCCUUUGUGAAUAAUCAACUAUAUUGUCUCAAAGGUAAAAACAGUUCUUCAUGUAUGUGAUUUAGUUUCAAAUGCUUGAGGAUAAAGCUUUUGAUAGUGAAUCCAUGAUGUUACAUUUGAUUUAGCUUGGCUUAAAGUAUGAAAUCUGAAAGAUGAUUUGUACUACGACAAAAACAUACCCAGUAUAGUUCCACAAAUACAUGGUUUAUACUUUUCGAAAAUAAGACUUUCAUCUUUCCAAUCCAUGUUCAAAGUACAAUAAAGGGCAACCCGGCACAUUAUGCUCUCGCUAUGCGUGGGGUCCAGGGAGGGCCAAACCACCAGAGCCUAUAUUGUAAGCAGCCUUUCCCUGCAUUUGUUGUUUCCACGGCUCGAACCGGCGACUUUGUGGUCACAUAGCAGCAACCUUACUAGUUAUAUAAAGGCUCCCCUUCCAUGUUCAAAUACAACGGAGUAAUUGUUAUCCAGGUACAUGUUGUUUUUCUCUAAGGGCUUGUUUGGUUUGCAAACAAGUUAUCCUAGGAAUACAAUGUGGGCAUAUACUAAGGAAAUUAAAUAGUGUUAGGGUUUUUGCCUUAUCUAUUUUAAACCAAACAAAUGUUUUAUAUUGUACUUCUUAUUGGAUUGAAAAUGGGAUAUAAGAGGUACAAUAUAAAACAUUUGUUUGGUUUAAAAUAGAUAAACUUUUAUUUUCAAAUUUAAUCUUGGGUUUCUUAAAAGAUUUUGAGAAGGAUAACUGUGUCAAAAUUGUUAUUUUAUUAUCCACAUAGUUUAAGAUUUAAGGAUAGUAAAAAAUACUUUUUUUGGUUUCUGAUAAAUGCUUCUUUGGUUGAAUUUUUUGGACUUCCUUCUCCAUGCCUGAAUGUUAGACUUCUUUAAUGAAUCUUGUAAAUUCAUGGUUUUUGCACCAGAAAGUGUCAGGGAAGUAACAUAGAAUCUUGUAAAACAAGUAAAUUCCAUACUUAUUUAUGAGAAGAUCUAGGAAAAAGAUACAAAAAUUUGUUAAUAGUGGCGUAGUUAGCAUUUCACUAAGGGAAGCCGAAAUAAGUACAUGAAGAAGUAAAGGGGAUUAAACGUAUAGUAUAUCUAUAUAAGUAUUUUUAUCGAUCUAUAUUGACUCCCCUUGGACAAGGAUGCUCCGCCACUGUUAUCUCAUGUUUUUUAUGGGACACCUAUAUAAGCUUCAUAUAUUUUAACUUUACCAAUCACAAGAUACAUAAUCUUCUAGUAGGACAUGAAACAGUAACAUACAAAGAUAUAGUGCCCACCAUCCAACUCAAGUUAACGCUUGCAAAUUGACUGCUUAUCAGGGCAUGAAGGAAUGGGCUCUCUCAUGGAAGUUUGAGGAUAUAGUUAGUGACCCAGGCCAUGUGUAUUUCUCUCUUGGUAAAAGUGUUGUCUUAUAAUAGGUCUACAACCAGAGGCGGAUCUAGAAUUUUGAGUUUAUCAGUUCUGAAUUUGGACUCAGUUGACAAGUAAACCCUACAACUUCGUAAGUGCACAUAUGGACAUCUUCACUUGGUCUCAACUGACGACUAAAAAUUCCAACUCGCCUCCAUUGUGUGUCAUUGAAACAUAACGCUGACGUAACGCAUAAAUUUUGGAGGUGUAUAGAUGACAAUUUUGUAAGUUGGAUUGUUCGACCGACACAGUGGAGACGAGUUGAGGUGUCUAGAUGUGCACUCUCAAAGUUGCAGUGCUUGCUACCUAGCUGAGGUCAAGUUUGAGCGUCUGUUUUAUGCAGUAUGCCAAUAUAUUUCAAAUGGAAAUACAAGUUGAGGCAAAAUCUAUUGAGUUGUGCCGAAUCCAUAAGCAGAACUGUAGCUCCGCCCCUGAUUGCAAGGUUAGAAAGAAAUCCUUAGUAAGUUCCACUGCAAAAGGACAUAAUAGAAACUGUAGCUUCCUGGUAGAGAAGUGUUAAAUUCAAACACUUUGCAUGGAGCAAGUUGAGCAACAUGAGCUGUGUGUUUUACAUUCAUUAAUUUAAGGUUUGAAACUGACUUUUUUUUAUAUAUAUACACAUAUAUAUUUGAUUUUACAAGACUUUUGUAUGUGGUGGUGAAGCAAUUCUAGAUGGGACAGUAGAUAAAGGUUUGCUGCAUGGUUGAUUCAACAGCAUGGGAACUCAUAUGGGUUGUCUAUAUAUGUACUGCUUCUUUGGAUUUUCUUCUUUUUGUUUAAAUCUUUUUUUGUCAGUGGAAUUUUAUUUAUGUUCUUUGUUGAUUAUGAAAUGGGAAAUUUAAGUCAUGUUGGAUCUCAUUGAAAAGAAGUUCAAUUCCCAUUUUCUUACUAUAUUAUAAGAUUGUUACAAGAGGAAAUAAUAUUUGUUACUAAAGGAGACAACCAUGGACCACUCUUCUGAACCUAUUAUCAACCUUCUUCCUCCCACAGUUUCCUUCCUACCCCCUCCUCAAUGAUUUCGAGAAAACCGAAUCAAUUGGAUUUUUUCCAUGCAAUGCCUCCAACUCGAGAUUUUUAUUCAUAGAACUGAACAUCAAAUUUAUAUUCAUCCAUCUGUUAGUAGCGUCUGGGCGAUCAAGAAAGGACUACAUUUAUCACUGAACAGAGGUGUCUAUUGUUACAAUAGACCCCUGUGAGGUGAGGCUACGUAUAAUAGACCCUUGUGGUUCAGCCCUUUCUCGGACCCCACGCAUAGCUAGAUCUUUAGUACACCAGACUGUCCAGACAUUUAUUGUUACAAGUGAUGCACUUUGGACAUUUCAGUUUAUGAUCAUUGUACAGAAACCAAAUAAAGAAGAAUGAGACAGAAGAAAAAAGAUCCAGGAUGCUAACAUGGCAAUGAUUCAUAUAAGAUUUGCUGAUAGGUGUAGCUAGGCUAGAUGGAUAAAAUGAAUAAUUGUUUUUAUUUUCCAAAAUUUUCUAUUUUUGGUAAGGCAAGCUGUUAUAUGAGAUAUUGUGUACAAAUGUUAGAAAUAUUUUGACUUGUGAAGAGGGGAACUUUGAUUACUUCAGGAUGAAUAUUUAUCAACUACCUCAUCCAUGCAGUUGUCCCCUUUAAAGUUUAAAGUUUCAAGAUAAUCUUUUCACCUUUACUAGGUGAAUAAUAACACUGCUAGCUAGACUCAUAUGACAUUGGUCUAAGACUUUAAGGUAUAGUAUUCUGAAUUCUAUCUAAUUUGGAAAACCUCUUAAAAAGUAUACAAUUAUUCAUGUGACAUAUUAAGAAAGAUGAUCCAGUAUUCAAACUAUUCUCCCAAGUUUGACCCUUUUUUUCUGAUAAUCGAGAAAUAUUUGAGGGCUAAUUAGUUGGCGCAUGGUUUGAAACUCAGCGAGUGAUGAGUUCGUCCCUUUACCUUCCCUAUAUCAGGUUUUUGUCCACAACAAAGGUUAAACUUGUGCAUCUAAAAAAGCUGCCACACUCGUUUAGUCGUGUUAGAGAACAAUGAAAGAUUCGAUAUGUAUUUAGUAACAUUUUUAAAGAGUUCGAGCAGGUUGAACCAUGCCUUGGGGCUAUCCUCCAAGUUUGACUUGAAGGCAAGGGGAUCUUUUUACCCUCUAUGUUUCUCUCUUGUAUGUGGGCUCUAUCCAUGUGCUUGGCAACAUGGAGGUGCUCUUAAGAGUUUUGCAUUGGUAUUUUCUUGAACUAUACUAGUGAAAAGUCUAUGUCAUAGUUAAAUUGAAAUAAGGGAUGUUUUGGAAUUAUAAAUAUUUGGUCCACCAUAUUUAAUGGGACCCUAGGUGGACCAUGUUCUAAAUAUAGAUCCCAUCAGUAGAAUAAAUGACUUGGGUGGACCAAAAUUUAUUAGAGUGAAAGAACCUUCCUAUUACCUUUGACAAUUCUUUUACCAACUUUGACAAUAUCAGAAGAUGAAUUUUCCUUCACAAGCAUGGAACCAUGAUAUACAAGACUCAUGAUUCACAAAUGAACAGAAGCAACAUACUUACAUAAAAAAAAAAAAAAAAUAGUCCGGUGCACUAAAGCUACCGCUAUAUGCGGUGUCCGGGGAAAAAAUAAUUGUCCAUUCAAAAAAAAUAAUAGUUUCGCUCGGUUCGGUGAGACAUACCCCAUCUAUGUUUUACAUAGGUAGAGUUUCUUAGUUAAAGUAUCUGAAAGAAUUGAAUUCUAUCUCUCUUUGUUUUUCUCCUCAUUCAAAUGAAUUUGAAGAUAUAUUUGGGCAAAAUGACCCAUUUAUUUUGGGAAAAAUCUUCUAUCUUUUGAUUAGGAAAUCAACACGUUUCAAGAAGUGAAAAAUGUAUAAUAUGUAGAUAUUUGAGAAACAGUGUAUAAUAUGUAUAUUAAUAUUCUUGGAUCAGCAAACAGUUGCAUAAACUGAUAAUAUACUUACAAGAAAAGGAGAUAUAUAUAUAUAUAUAUAGUCACAUUUUUUCUAUUAGUACAUACUAAUAAUCAACCUUUUGUACAAAGUUCUUCUUAGAAGUAGAUGCUAAAAAAAGCCUCUUCUUCCUAUAAAAAUGCCCAAAGAUGAAAUUUGGGUAUUUCUCUGGACAGGGCUGCUUUUUGUUGUGUCUCUUCCUUCUCUUGUCACCUAAGUUGCUCGGACCGUCCAAAAAUAUUGCCUCAUUCGUGUCGGAUUCAGCACACACCCUUCGAUAGUUUUGAAGAGUCUGAGCAACAUAACUUGUCACAACGUCGUCUUUACUCUUUUUGUUGUUGUUGUUGUUGUUGGUACCACUUGACAAGUAAAAUUAUAGGAAGAAAAGCUAAAAAUUCAAAAAAAAAAAAAAAAAAAUACUAAAAAAAAAAAGAUUAUGGUAUUAGAAAUGUGACUUGCUUCUUCUAUGACAUGCAACAGUAACAGAUUGAUUUUUCUGUUUAAUUUCUUCUUUCCAAAUUUUGCCAAUAUCUUGUGAUACUUUAAUUGCAUCUAAAGAAGCACCAGAAAGUCCUCUUCUUGUAAAUCCAACUGCAUAUAUACCACCUUUUCCUUUCCAUCCAUUUGGAAAUGGAUUUUUUGGAAAUCCCUCCCUUGAAAAAAAUUCACUUUCCUAUAUACAAAAAAAUAAAUAAAAAAUCAUUAGACCAAAAUUCAAAGAAAUAUAUUCUUGAAAUACCCUUAAAAAGAAAAAAAAAAAAAAAAAAAAAAAAAUUUAUUUUUAGCUCAUUUGUAGCUCAUAUCUAUGAUCUAAUCCAUUCAACCAUUAUCUUGGAAUGCUCAAUUUUUAUUUCUCAAAGUAUUAUUACCACAAGUAAAAGAAAAAAGAAAAAUAUAUUUUUCUAUGUUCCCAAUAAAAUAAAAACAAAUAUUGAAGCAAAUGAGAAUAUCAUCCACCUGUUCACUAACAAAUACAAGAAAUAGAAACAGAGAAUAUAAAAAAGAAAACCAACUUCCAUAACUGUCACAAGAAUCCAUAAAUUAAAAAUAAAUACACCACCUUGAACACACAACAAAAUUAUUAUUAUUUUUUUUGUAAAAAAAAAAAAAAUUAACUUGUUUUUGACUUCUUCCCGUCUGUUCUAGCUUUGGUGGACUGUGGUGGAAGGUGACAGGUAUCUCGUCAAAUUAGUCGAAUCGUUCGUGUAACCUGACCGAACACCACGAUUAUGAAAAAAAGAAAGAAAAAUAUUGUUUGUUUUUGACUUCUUUCUCGUCUGUCGUAACCUUGAUGUACCGUGAUAGGAGGUGACAGAUAACUCGUCAAAUUAGUCGAGGUUCGUGUAAACUAAUGCCAACACCACGAUUAUGAAAAAGAAAGAGAGAGUUUAUUUUUCUCACCUUUAACCAGGAAGGAACAUUGCUGCAAUAUCCAGUAGCCAAAAUGACACAAUCAAUAUCAAGAAUUUGACCAUUCACAAACUCCACUUUCCCUUGAGAAAAUUUCUUGAUUGCUGGAACUAUCUUUAUUUCUCCAGAUUUAAUCUUUUGUAAUGCACCUAUGUCUAAAACAGGAGUUUUCCCUUCUGUGUUUUUGAGUUGUAAAGGUCCAAUAGAUGGCCUUUUUAAACCAUACUUUUCUAUGUUUCCAAGAAGUAACCUUGCUGCAACUAGCAAUAUCUUGUCAACUACAUCAAUGGGUAGCCAUUUCAUCAUUGAUACUCCUAACUCAAACGUCGAUUUUCCAAGAAUUUCCCUUGGUAAAACAUGAACCUGUUCAUGAAAAUAUUGAACGUUUCAUUAGAUAUCAUAUGAUUAUAUACUUUUCAUGAGGAAUCAGAGACGUAAUGCGCGGAUUUUCUGGCAAUUGAAGGACACAGACAUAAAGAAGAUUUGUUAUGUCAAUCGCGCUGGAGGAUUGAAAGAUAGUAUAUUUGAUUAGGUACUUGUCAUGAGGUAUUGAAGAUGUUAAGUGUCGAUUUUCUGGCAAAUGAAGGACGCAGACAUAAAGAUAUUAGAUGAGAAAAAAUGAGACUUACCGAGCUUCGAACAACCAUGGAUGGACUUGCAUUAUGAUGACAAAGAUCAAGAGAAACUUCCAUGCCUGAAUUGCCACAACCAACAACUAACACAUUCUUCCCUUGAUAAGUUUCCCCUGUUUUGUAGUCACAAGCAUGCAUAACAUGUCCACCAAAAUCUUCUAAUCCUUCGAAUUCGGGUACAACUUUUUCUGCAUUCUCUCCGGUAGCUACAACAAGCCACCUGCAUAUAUAUUCAGUGAUUGAACCAUCUCUACAAACUGUUUUCACCCUCCACAAACCGCAUGUUUCAUCAUACUUGGCAGAGUGGACUGACUCAUUGAACCUUGGCUUGAUCUCGAAAUUCUUGGCAUAUGAUUCAAGGUAGUUGAUGAAUUGGUACUUUGUAGGGUAUUCAGGGAAGUUUUUUGGAAAUGGGAAGUAAGGCAAUUCACAGAAUUGUCGCGGGAGGUGAAGUUUAAGGCGAUCAUAAGUCCUGUUUUGCCAUAAGGACGCAAUGCAGUUGGCGCGGUCCAAGAUAACAAAGGGAACCCCUUGUUGUUUUAGGCCCGCGCCAACUGCUAGUCCUGAUGGACCAGCACCAACGAUGACAGGACCAUUUACUAGUAUGCAUCUACCAAGGAACAAGUCCUCUUCUUGUUCAAGUGCAUGAACCAUUAGAGGUGAACAAGGACUAUUACAAUAUUGAUUCAUCAAGAUAAGUUGUAGAAAUAGGCAAUGAACUCUUAACUUCUUCUUUUUUUCUAGUAUAGUGGGACAAAAGAGAGCUAAUGAGGAGAAAAGAGAAAUAUUAUGAGUUUUCAAGUUGACAAACAAAUGUGUGGAGAGGGUUUAGAGGAAUAGAGAGGUUUAAAUAAGGGAAGAAGUUGGCUAUGAAGGGGGGAGGAAUGUAAUUAGGAUUUGAAAAUGAUGGUCUUGAUUGUCUUUUUCAUAUGAUUAAUUGUGGUCUACUCCCCCCACCCCCACCCAAACCAUCUUUGUUUUGAUAUGCACAUAUAUUCUUUUAAUUAAUGUGACAACACAUAAAGCUAUAUGUAUAUACAAUUGUUUAACUCCCUUUGAAUCAAUAUACUUUUAGUCCGUCUCAAAAUACUCGUCGUGUUAAGAAAACAUUAAUUGAUAUAUGUAUUUGAUUGUUUUAUCUUUAUUUAUGUCUUAUCAAAAAGAGUCUCUCUAUCUCUCUAUGAUAGUUAGGGGCGAACCCACUUUGGUUCAAGUGGGUUCAUAUGAACCCACUUCGUCGAAAAAUUACACCGUAUAUAUGUAUAUAUAUAAUCAAUUUUUAUAAGUAUAAAAAUAUAUAUGUAAUUUUGAACCCACUAUAAAUAAGUGAGGUGGCUAGUCUAGUGAUCGCGUAUUCAAAUUUUGAUACUUGGGUUGCGGGUCCGAACCCCCUAUAGUGGCAUUCUUUUUUUGUUUUGAAACUUUUAAGAAAGAAUAAAGGCUACUUUUAAGAAUGAAUAAAGGCCGUAAAGCCUUUACUUUUAACAAGUGAAGUUGCUAGUCCAGUGGUCAUGUGUUCAAAUCCUGAUACCUGGGUUUCGGGUUUGAGCCCCUAUAGUGGCAAAAGUUUGGAUCCACCACUGAUGGUAGCGGUAAGGUCUGUCUACACUCUUCUACCCAAUCCAGACCUCACUUGUGGAAUCUGUUGUUGUUGUACCAUUAUUUAUGUCUUAAAAUAUAAUCUCUCUUUAUUGAAUAUAUAUACUUUUUUCAUUCGGUUUUACUUGUCACAUUUUGAGUUGGCACACCUAUUAAGAAAAAUAAUUAAUAACAUAACUAUUUUAUCAUAGUACCUCUAUUAAAUGAUGUUUAUAUUGUAUCUUGAUAUUAAUUUAGAAAAAAAAAAACAAUUAACUUAAGGGUAAAAUAGGAAAAAAGAAGUUGUUUUCUCUUGAUAUGUCAAAAAUGACAAGUAAAAGUAAAAAUUCAAUUAAAAAAUUAGUGAUAAGUAAAAACAAAUGAAGGAAGUACUACUUAUGUGUCAGAAUUGAGGUGUUCGUAGUCUUUACAAAUAAUUAAUUCUAAUGGUUAAAUGAGGAAAAAAUAAUUAAUUUUGUCUAUAGAACUUCUAUAAUUAAUUAUUUUGAAAUAAAUAUUUUUAAUAAGAACUACAAGUGUUUUGAGACGGAGGGAAUAUAUAUUAUUAAUGAAAGACCCCACAUUUAAUGUAAAGACUUCUAUAAAAGCAUUUCAUAUAUGUCCAAACUAUACGCUAUUAUAGUAUGGUCUGUAUGAACUCAAACUACUUACUUACACCUAAAUAUAAUUUAUUUAUCCAUUGCAUCCAAAUUAUAUUGUCACAUAUUUCUAGGCAACCUACAAAUUGAGCUUUCAUGUAUUUAUAUGGUAUACUUUGUAAUAUAUUUGCCCCAGCUAAGAUAUAUCAAGUUGAGGGUAUGUGAUAGUAGAGGCUUAGUAUGUAUUGGAACAAAAUGUUUGAUUAGUACACUAACAUUUUUGCUAUAUGCAGAAUCAGAGAAAAGGUCGAACUCCACAAGGGUUUUAUUGUGCGCAGUCUUAGAGUAUAUUGAAUUGGUUUUCAAUUUUUUUCAUGUUUGAUUGAUCAAAAUAUUUUUCAAUUUUUUUCUUAAGAAAACAGAUUUCUUGAAAAUAAGGAAAAAUGUCCUACCUAACGAGUAACGAAAGUAAGGAAAAUAAGUCUCAUAAAUGAUAUUUCAAGUUCAUUAUCCCCGCUCCACCUCCCAUUGUCCCAAUCCUCACCUUUUGACCUUCCCAACCUCUAUCACCAGAGGUGGAGUCAGUCCUUUGGUAGGGGUUCAUCUGAACCCCCUUCGACGGAAAUAUGUAUCAUUUAUAUAUGAUUAAAAUUAAUUUUUAUGUAUCUAUAGUAGGUGUUGAACCCCCUUCGGCUAGGUUUUCUUCGAAUAGUGAACCCCCUUAGUUGAAAUCCUGACUCCGCCUCUAUCGAGCUGCUGCCCCUGUAUCCCACACUCCAUUUCAUCGUUAUCCCCAUAGAGCUUUGUUAGAUUACAUGUAAAGGCUCUUGGGAUAAUAUCUUUUAUAUAUUUACUUAAUAUAAGGUCAAAAAAAGGCAGUUCAAUGCACUAAAAUUUCAGUUAUGUGUGGGCUCCAUAAAAGAGUUGAACCACAGAAAUCUAUUGUAUAUAGCACUUUCUGCAAGGGACUAUUUCCACGAUCUGAACCAGUGACCUUCUAGUAAUAAAUUACUCACUCGAAAAUAAGUAAUAAAUUCAUUUUCCAAAAAAAAAAUAUUUUUUAGGAAACAUUUUCUUUCGUACCAAACGUACCCAUAGUAGAAAAAAGCAUCACAUACCUUAAUUAAUUCAUUGAUUUGAAGGAAAUGCUUGAAAUUUUCCAAUUUAAAUUGGAGCAAAAAAGAGGAAAAACUAAAUUAAUUGCCUAAUUUGUUUGGUUUUUGGACGGAAGGAAAAAUUUAAUUAAAUUGAAUAGGAUCUACUAAAAAUUGCUUAUCAAUUCGUUAUUAUAUAGUUGGGGUUGAUGUAUGAAUUUUCUAUUUUCAUUAUGUGAACUAAAUAUUUCGUUAUUAUAUAGUAGAGGCUAGAUUACCCAAAAAAAAAAAAAGAAUUUUUCUAUAUUCAUUAUGUGAACUAAAUAUUUCGUUAUAAUAUAGUUGGGGCUAGAUGUUUGAAUUUUCUAUAUUUAUUAUGUGAACUCAAUAUUCGAAGGAUUCACUCAUAGUUACCUCAACUUAUUACACAUAUAUAUCAUCUUCUUUAUUCGAUUUAGACUGAUUUGUCAUGUGAAUUUUCGAUGAAAUUUCUAUCGACAUAUCGUCAGAUAUUUAGGAUUUUCGAUAGUGAAAUUGUUUAUGACACUAAUAUGGGUUGUGGUGCAGUAGACUGUUACAAUUUUUAAAUUAAAUUAUUUUCUUCGUUAGUUUACUCACUGUAACGGACUGUUAUGAUAGUCAAAUAAAUCAAGGGUGAGUCGAGACACGACAAACUUAUUUAUGAUCGACUUAUUUUCAAGUAUGAAUCAUAUGUUGUGUUCUCUGACAUCUACGCUACGGUGUCUUAUCUAAAUUAAGGAACACACUCUUUUGGCCACUGUGGUAUGAUUAUUGGGCUCUCGAGCCUUGACCAUCAGGUUUAAAUUCGAAAGCAAAAAAGCUAUAGGGGCUUUCAAAUAGUUUAUUUGCGAUGCUUUUGCAGAUCAGCUAAUAUAGAAAAUACGCAUGUUUCUAGUAGUGAUAAAGCUAAAUUAGCUAAAUAAAGAAACAAAAUUAAAUAGUUUUAAAAUUAUUUUGGUCCUUAUUGUUUAAUACAUGUGAGGAGAGAGAUAGAGAGAGUAGUAAAUGUGUCUUCUCCUCCUUAUCCUCUAUAUCCAUUUUCUUCCAAGAAGUAACAAAAAUAAUUUAAAAAAAAAAAGAAUUGCAUUUCUCUUUCACUACAUUCCAAAUUUAAUUUUCUUUUUAAUUGUUCAACCUCUCUUCCAUUCUUUUCCACCUAAAACCACCAUUGAGCAUGAAAACCCAUAAGCAUAACCUUUAAAAGACAAAUAAAACCAACAAAAAACAUGAGGUGCAGCUAUUUCCCAAUAUCUUCUAAAUUUACCUAAACUUUAUACAGGAAGUUUCUUGAAAAUAAAAAAUAAAAAAUAAAAACAUGUUGAGUUGUCUACAUGCCCUAAGAGCACAAGUUUAGUAAGCAAGAUUUUGAAUCCCAUCAAUGCCAUCAUGCAUGUAAAAUCACUAUCAGAAAUCAGUUAAUUUUCGAAGAACGUCUUAUCAGAUAGAAAAGCACUCGUUAAAAAUAUUUCCUACAGACUUUUCGUUGGGAAUCCCAAUUUUUCGAUGAAUGUAUUCGUUAAAAAUUGACUGAUUUUUAACAGUGAAUCAAUUUUAAUUUUCUAGUUACUUGAAGAUUAAUAUUGGCUUUGUUGAUUGUAUUGAGAUCUCAUCUUAUUAUCAACUUAGGACAAUGCAAGUAUCAAGCUUGAGUUCCUCUAGGUUGAUCAAAUGUUUAUAUAUCCAAAAAUAAAUUUGGUUCCACCAAGCAAUCACAUUGGUGGCUUCCACUAAUACUAUAUUAGAAUUACGAAUUUCACUAAAAAUAUUAAAAAGUAAGGCCUAAGAUAUAUACACAAUAUAAUUUAGUUAAUUUUUAGUAAAUGUAUUGUUCAAUUGACCAUUUUUUGAUAUACGUUGUUUCGCCCUUAAUUCCAAGUAAAUUGAGGUCUCUAUACGAAUCUUACCUAUCUACAUAACCAUAUCACGUCAUUUAAGCUCGUCUCUAUAUGACAUUAUAAAAUCUUAUUUUCUUGAACACUAGAAAAUAUUUAUAUUUAUACCCAUUAAUAUAUAAAUAUCUAAUAAAACUAAAAAUUUCUAACAAAUAUGGCUUACGUUAAAGUAAUACUACAUGACUAAAACAUAAUCAAUCUAAUUAAUUAGUAUCAGCACUUACAUAAAUAUUUUCCACUUUGGAAGCUGUACAUAAAAAUUAUUAGUAAAAGAUUGUUAUACUCAUAUAUCUAAUUGAUUAUUAUAUUUGAAGAGUCGUAACUGAUAAAACUGUUGGCAUGUGAUCAAGAGGUCACAAAUUUAAAUUGUAGAAACAGAUCCUUAAAGAAAAGUAAGAUAUAUCCCCUGCAAUCUGGCCCUUUCCUGAACAUUCGCGUGUAGUGAAAGAUUUAGUGUACGAAGUUAUUUUAUUUUUUUAUUAUUGUUAUACUCAUAUGUCUGGACUAUAUAUUUCUGACAUAAUUAAAUCAUAUGAAACAGAAUUGAGGACUGACAAAAUAAUUAUUAAAUUUAUGUCAAUGAAAAGUCUCAUGAUAUAGGCAAACAAAUCAUUACUACUCAUGUGAUUAUAUACAUAUAUUAAUUUGGGAUUAAUUGGUCGUGUGAGCAUGUAAAGUGAUUAGGAUUAAUUAGUGUAUUCUUGUUCUCUAAUCUUUGGAAUAAUGAUAAGAAUAAUGCAAGCAUCAUUCUAACACCUUUUUCGUUUCAAUUUAUGUCAUUUAAUUUAACUCAAUAUGAAAUUUUAAAAAAUAUAUAAAAUAAAAAUUAAAUCUUAUAAUCUAAUACUUUGAAAGUGCACGUUUAAACACCUCAACUUCAAUUCAUAUAAACAUCUCUAUCUGAGUAUUAUAAAAUCUUAUUUUCUUAAAUAAAUACAUGUCUUAGUAUUAGUGAUUGAAACUUUUAAAACUUGUGCCUAAAACGCGUUAUAAUAUCUUAUUAUUUUAUCGCAAUAAAUUCUUCUCAUUAAUUAAAGGUAAAAUGAAUUAUGUAUGAAGUUAAUUAUUUAUAAAUUUAGAAAUAUUUUGUCAUUUCUUUUUGAAGCAAACUAAAAACAAGCGUGUCACAUAACUGAAAGAAAAACAAAAAAAAAAAAGGGGGAGACAAAAGCAUAUUCAGAGUGUAUUCACGAUGGAGGAAAACUUUUUUCGGAAAAUGUAUUUCAGUUUUUCCAAGUUCGACUGAUCAAGUAUUUAAAAAAUAUCUUUUUAAAAAAAAUUAAGUUCCUUAAAAUUGAAUAAAACAACCUACCUAAUGAAAAUAAGGAGAAAACAAGUUCCCCACACUCCUACCCCCACCCAAACCCCCAAACCCAAUCUCCCAUCUUCUAUAAUAUUUAUUUAAAUUAUAUACGAAUACCUUUAAAAUAAUAUUUUUUUAUUUAGGUAAUCGAACAUAAAAAAUGAGUGAGAAACUCACUCUUUUACUUUUUUGGAAAACCUCUUUUUGAUGAAAAACAGAAAGUUUAGUGAAAAGCUUGUGGGGAUAAUUGAUUAUUCUUUUUAAUUGUUUAAAAAAAAACAGAGAAAAAUUGAAUAAAAUAUGUUUUAGUCGGCGUAACUUUCUGCUUUGCUUUUCAGAUUAACAAUUUAAUAUUGAUUUAUUCAACGAUCUUUAACUUUGAAUUAAUCAAAAUAAAUUCAAUUUGUAAUAAUUUAAAUAUUUAGGCGUACUUUCAUAUAUUUUAUUUUUUGAAAAGUAUUAUUAACAAAUUAGAGAAAAGUAAGAAAUAUUCCACUACUUUAUGAAAUCACGAGGAAGCUCGUUAAUUAUUUGUCCUUUUAAAUGGGCGGUGGAUAAUUUAACUAAGUUUUAUUAUACAAAAAGGGCAAAAAAGAAAAUAUAAUUUAAUGGAGUUUGAUGAUUGAAAACAAAAAGAAGAAAAGAUAAAUUAAACCAAAUUAAUUUGGUUGGAAAAGGAAGAAGAGAAAAGUCAACAUUCAUGAGUUUAAGAACGAGGAGUUUAAUGCUUUAUCAUUAAAAGAUGGCCAAAUAAUCGACAGACACUCAAAUUUAUUGCGAAAAUUCACUUAUGCCUCUAAACUACGGCCUAUUCCUAUCAAACUCCUAAACUCCCUGAAUUUUAUUCUAAUUGAGCAUUUUUUUCCUAUCAGUAAAAAGGUCAAAGUGUAUGGGUCCAAUAAUUACUAAAAAUUAAUUAUAAUUUUUUUUAAAAAAAGUAUAUAAAAAUGACGUUGAGGAAAUUAUUAAAAAAUAAUUCUAAAAUUAUUUUAAAAUAAAAAUAAAAAAGUGAUUAUUUUUAAAAAAUAUAAAUUUUUAUUAAAAAAGAAAUAAAUUAUUAAAAAAUUAUUUUUUAAAAAAAUUAAUUAUUAAAAAAAUUAUAAAAAUUUUUAGAAAAUGAAAAUAAAAAAUGGCAUUGAGGAUAUAAAUUAUGAAAAAAUAAUUAUAAAAUUAUUUUAAAACCAAAAAUAAAAAACUGAUUAUUUUACAAAAAUUAUAAAUUUUUUAAAAAAUGAAAGAAAUUAUGAAAAAAUUAUUUAAAAAAUUAAAAAUUAAUUAUUAAGAAAAUUAUAAAAAAUUUUAGAAUUAAAAUAAAAAAUGGCAUUAAGGACCCAAAUUAUGAAAAAAUAAUUAUAAAUUUAUUUUAAAAAUAAAAAUAAAAAAUUAAUUAUAAAAAAAUUUAAAAGAUAAAAGUAAAAAAUAGAUUUUUUUUAAAUUCAGUUUUAUUACAAAAAAAAUUGGGGCCCUCUAAUGCUUUUUGGGACCUUUAGUGUUUAAAAAAAAAUUGUUAUUAAAAAAAUUUUGGGGCCUUCAAUGCCACUUGGCAAUUUUUUAUUCGUAAAUUAGUAAAAAAAAAUGCUCCUCAUGCACCUCUCACGAUGACACUGCACGCGCAGUACCACAUAGGCAAAAAAAUGCCCAAUUGAAACAAAAUUCGGGGGUUUAGGGGUCUGAUAGGAACAGGCCUUAGUUUAGAAUUCUAAGUAAAUUUUCGCAACAAGUUUGAGUGUCUAUCGACGUCUUUGGCCAUUUUCUGUAUCUAAAAUUUUAGUAUGGUGAUAUGCCUAUUUAUAGGCUAUAGGAUCAACUGGUAAUUUGUAAAAUUAUUAAAAAAAUUAAAAUUAAAAUAAUAUAAUUUAAUAAAAAAUAUAAAAAAAUUUAAAGAAUGAAAUAAAUUAUUAAAAAAUUAUUUUAAAAAUAAAAAAUUAUUUAUUAAAGAAAAUUAUAAACUUUUUAAAAUGAAAAUAAAAAAUGGCAUUGAGGUUCCAAAUUAUGAAAAAAUUAUUAUACAAUUAUUUGAAAAAUAAAAUUAAAAAACUGAUUAUUUAAAAAAAAUUAAAAAAAAUUAAAAAAAAUGAAAUAAAUUAUUUAAAAAAAUAUUUUUAAAAAUAAUUAUUAAAGAAAUUAUAAAAUAUUUUAGAAAAAUGAAAAUGAAAAAAAAGAAAUUAUAAAAUUUUUAAAAGAUGAAAAAAAAAUUUAAUUCAGUUUUAUCAAAAAAAUAAAUAAAUUGGGGCCCUCUAAUGCUUUUUGGGGCGUUUAAAAAGAAAAAAUUAUUAUUAAAAAAAAAAAUUGGAGCCCUCAAUGCCACUUGGCAACUUUUUAUUCGUAAAUUAGUAAAAUAAAAUUCUCCUCACGCACCUCCCACGAUGGCACUGCUCGCGCAGUGCCACAUAGGCAAAAAAAUGCCCAAUUGGAACAAAAUUUGGGGGUUUAGGGGUCUUAUAGGAACAGGCCUUAGUUUAGGGGUCUAAGUGAAUUUUCGCAACAAGUUUGAGUGUCUAUCGAUGCCUUUGGCCUUAAAAAAUAUAGUUACAUAAUUAGGUUACUUAUAAAUUUCUAUCAUAUCGAGGAUAUUCGAAAACAGCCUCUUUACUCGAGAUAGCAAUAAGUCGUAAAUUUUGAGUAUAUUUUAUUUUCUUACACUUCACUUGUUAUGAUUAAAAUGAAUGUGCUAUUAUUGUUAUUGUACUAUCGAUAAUUUAGUAAAAAUAUUAACUAAUCAGCUAUCACAUGUUAAAUUAUAUUAAUAGGGUAAAUAUCUUGGCACCAUAUCAAUAUAUAUAAUUUUACAUUCAUAUUUUUUUAAAUUCUCGGAUGAGAGAAGAAAAUCAUGAUAUAUAUAUAUAUAUAUAUAUAUAUGCGUUUUUUUUUUUUGAUUUUCCAUCCGGUGUUCAAUGCCCGCAUUGGAGCCCCGACUAAUUCGGAUAGCGCGUUGCAGGGCCCAUUAAGGUGGCAGUUCUCCCAACAGAGUUUUCUCCAUACCCAGAAUCAAACCCUCGACCUCUGGUUAAGGGUAUAGCAGCCACAUCCACUGCACCACAACUCAUUGUUGGUUAUAGAUGCCUAUUUUAAUCUUGAAUAACAGAAAUUUUAUUUCUAAAUUCUAAUAUUAUUCAUCCUCUAGAUAUCCAACGUAUUAGUGAGCAAAAAGUAACACAAUUUAAGAGACAUGUGAGGUUUUGCAUUUCCAAGAUUUCAUUUCUAAAGUUAAUCUUUUGUUGAUAUUCCCAAAAUGUACAACGAAAGAAUGUUUUCUUCGAUGAAAUAAGUAGUUUUUACAAAUUAAUUAUUCUAGAAUAAUGUAGAGACUGAUAGAAUUUUCACCGACAAAGUUUAACAUCUAUUGUAUAUAUAAAUUAUUUUCUGGCAAAUGAAAUUCGGAUGAAUCGCCUUCAACCCCAAAGCAUGAGCUAGUAAGAAAGAUCGAUGAAUGGACUUGCAAUUAUCCCGACUAAUUUGAUUGAUUAAGUUGACAACUAUUAGAUUAUCGUACAAGAUAAAAGUAACUGAUUCAAGAUUUAAAUUCGAUGAAUAGAACGUGGUGAUUAUAUAUAUGCCCCAUUUACUAAUGGUCCUUGAUAAAGUACUCCAUUGUAUGCAUACCACAUGGUGGACCUUUAAGUACUAUCACCAUGCAUGUCACAAUAACUCUCAUCAAUAUUAACUAUGUAUCCUUGUAGUAGUAUUUAUUACCUCCAAAAUAAGGUACCACAAUAGGAUGACAAAGUAGAUAGAGAUUCUGAAAUCGAGUCUUACUAUCACUCAUUAUCAGGAAAAACUUUCACGUCUUUGAUCGCGAUUAAAAAUAUCAAGCUCGUCAUAUUCGCACACUUCUUUCAUAAAUUAAGCAAGACUUUGUGAUAUUCAUCUCGCUAAAAUGAAUUGUUUAUGAUACAUGUAUAAUGUACUACAUCAAAUAUACAUUUCAUAAAUUUAUAUUUUGAGUGUCUUUUCAAUAUCCUUUUUGUGAUCUACUUUAGGAUAUGAGUUAACUCUUUAAGAUAUUUUUGAUAACCGAGAUGAAAAUAUUUUAGACUAUAGUAAAUUAAGUAAUUAAUUUCGAGGUGAUUAGAGACACAAACUCACGUGUGGCAUGUUAGAAAUGGAUAUAUCUUGGAUAAGAAUUGUCUUAAAAAAACAAUUACUAUAUAUCAUAAUUUGGAACAAUGAAUUUUGUAAUUUUCGAGAUUAAUAACAUGUGCAUGCCUCGAUCGGUCACUUAUUACACUUUCUCAACAUAAACUCCAACACAUACAUACGUACCCAAACACGAACUUAAUUAAACGUCUCAGAUUCAAGCAUUAAAAGUAGAAUUAUGUUUAGUAGAGCCAAAAAUGGGAGUUCUCGGAGUAAAUUUAAAUUAAUCAGACUCAAAAUAUAUGUUCAAAUAAACUUAUAGGAGAAAAAAAAAGAAGGAAAAGUUUCAUGUUUCAAUUGCCCUCUUAGGCCUAAACCAAAGCCUCAUUAAUUAACAAACAUAGAUACAUCUAUUUGUUAAACUGUUUAAAUUUCAAUAAUACAUAUAUUAAAUUAUUCCAAACCCAUCAUUUCAAAACAAGCGGACCCAGAAUUUAGGGGUCGUGGAUACUCAAAAGGUUCAAACACAUAUAUCUGAAGCUUUAAGAUUCCGCCUGAAAACCAAAUCACCCAGCUAUCUGCUUAGUUUAAUAGGUACUUAAUUUUCUCCAUCCUAUACCAGUUUUUAUACAUUUCUUAUAUAAUUGUACCUAAUUUGCGUCAGGUUUAACAGGUGCUGGAGCACCAGAAAUUAACACCUAGGUCCGCCCCUGUUUCAAAAAUAUAAUGCGCGUACAUGUAUUAACGCAUGAAGUUAUCACUUUUAAUCGUAGAUCCAUCUCUAAACACGUGCAAUACUACACGAAAAGAACCUUAACAUACAACCACAUUCAUCUUGUUUAAAUUCUGAAUCCGGUUCUGCACAAUAUACGAGAAGAAGGUGACAAGGAUACUUGUAAACUACUCACAUGGAGUAGGUGGAAGAAGAGCGGCUAGUUGCAUCUUAUUCUUGGGAGGACUCAUAUUUCCCUUUUGGAAUUUGGAACCAACCAUUCAUAUCAUAAAAUAUGCACACAAUAUUAAUUAGUAUAUACAUUGAGAUUGCAAUUUAAUUAGCCUUGAGAUUUACACAUGUUGAUAAUCAUAUAUGUUUAAUUAAUCCCCAAAGUUCAACUCUUUGCCAACCCUAGACACAAGCAUUGUAUUUUGUAGCAUGACAAAAAUCUACUACUAUUAGUUUGAUUAAGAAAUUGGGAUCGAUAAUAACCAUUUCUUGGUUCUAACUAAAGUCUACACCAAGAAAAAUGAAAUAGAAAAUUUCUUAGAGCUUGUGAUAUAUCAAACAUAUCAUGACGUUUCUAUGGUCAUAAUUAUAUAAUUAGAGCAGGUAAUUAGGCGCUUGAAUAUGAAUUAAUUGGUUGAUAUAAGAAAAUUGAAGUGGUUAAGUUGAUAAAAAUAUAUGAAAGUUGAAGUUAUGUUUCCAUAUAAAAAUACAACUGAAAUUUUCCGAGUGAUAACUCAAAAAAGAAAUCUUGGAAAACUUCUUACUAUAACUUGUUUUUCAAAUUUCAUAUUUCACGUUUGAAGCUAAAGUAAUAAGCAAAUUUGAUGACAUACAAUAACUUGAAAAUUGAAAUAACCUCCAUAUAUAUAUAUAUAUAUAUAGCUUUUAAUUCUCGAGGUUUUUUUUAGAUAAAAAAUUUAAAAUUAAAGACUAUCUGUUGCCAUAACUCACUUUACCACUUAAACUUAACUUUCAUUUAUUUACCCUCUUAACAUCUUUAAAGUGAAUUAUUUUCACUCCUCAAAACUGAAUACCACUUUCACGAUGGAGAGUGCGCUACACAUGCGCCACGUCAUUAUCAAAUCAGUGCCACAUCAGUGCCAUGUCAUUUGCCACGUAAGAAUUUUUUUUUUUAAUAAUUCCAUACACUAACUUUUUUAUAUUUUAUAUAUACUAUUUAUNNNNNNNNNNNNNNNNNNNNNNNNNNNNNNNNNNNNNNNNNNNNNNNNNNNNNNNNNNNNNNNNNNNNNNNNNNNNNNNNNNNNNNNNNNNNNNNNNNNNNNNNNNNNNNNNNNNNNNNNNNNNNNNNNNNNNNNNNNNNNNNNNNNNNNNNNNNNNNNNNNNNNNNNNNNNNNNNNNNNNNNNNNNNNNNNNNNNNNNNNNNNNNNNNNNNNNNNNNNNNNNNNNNNNNNNNNNNNNNNNNNNNNNNNNNNNNNNNNNNNNNNNNNNNNNNNNNNNNNNNNNNNNNNNNNNNNNNNNNNNNNNNNNNNNNNNNNNNNNNNNNNNNNNNNNNNNNNNNNNNNNNNNNNNNNNNNNNNNNNNNNNNNNNNNNNNNNNNNNNNNNNNNNNNNNNNNNNNNNNNNNNNNNNNNNNNNNNNNNNNNNNNNNNNNNNNNNNNNNNNNNNNNNNNNNNNNNNNNNNNNNNNNNNNNNNNNNNNNNNNNNNNNNNNNNNNNNNNNNNNNNNNNNNNNNNNNNNNNNNNNNNNNNNNNNNNNNNNNNNNNNNNNNNNNNNNNNNNNNNNNNNNNNNNNNNNNNNNNNNNNNNNNNNNNNNNNNNNNNNNNNNNNNNNNNNNNNNNNNNNNNNNNNNNNNNNNNNNNNNNNNNNNNNNNNNNNNNNNNNNNNNNNNNNNNNNNNNNNNNNNNNNNNNNNNNNNNNNNNNNNNNNNNNNNNNNNNNNNNNNNNNNNNNNNNNNNNNNNNNNNNNNNNNNNNNNNNNNNNNNNNNNNNNNNNNNNNNNNNNNNNNNNNNNNNNNNNNNNNNNNNNNNNNNNNNNNNNNNNNNNNNNNNNNNNNNNNNNNNNNNNNNNNNNNNNNNNNNNNNNNNNNNNNNNNNNNNNNNNNNNNNNNNNNNNNNNNNNNNNNNNNNNNNNNNNNNNNNNNNNNNNNNNNNNNNNNNNNNNNNNNNNNNNNNNNNNNNNNNNNNNNNNNNNNNNNNNNNNNNNNNNNNNNNNNNNNNNNNNNNNNNNNNNNNNNNNNNNNNNNNNNNNNNNNNNNNNNNNNNNNNNNNNNNNNNNNNNNNNNNNNNNNNNNNNNNNNNNNNNNNNNNNNNNNNNNNNNNNNNNNNNNNNNNNNNNNNNNNNNNNNNNNNNNNNNNNNNNNNNNNNNNNNNNNNNNNNNNNNNNAUGUUAUAAAUAUAUAUAUAUAUAUAUAUAUAUAUAUAUAUAUAUAUAUAUGUAUAAUAAUAAAAAUAAUAAAAAUAGCAAUAAAGUGGUCUUUUAAAAAAAAAAAUCACUCGCUCUUUUUUUUUUGGUCACAUCAGCUAUAUGGGGGAAUUUAAUUCAUUUAAAAAUUGUUAAGAAGGUAAAUAAAUAGAAGUUAAAUUUAAGUAUUAAAAUGAAUUGUGACGACAAAUUUAAAGAGGAGAAGAUGUCUUUUUUCAAUACGUAAAAUCAUAGGUUAUACGAAAAAAAAAUAGAAUAAAUAAAAGAGAUAUAUGUAGGUUUGGGGGGCAGAAGAGUUGCAUGUGCAUGGAACCUUAGUCCUUAGGUAAGAAAAAAGUUUAUUCUUUUCAUGCAAGAAUUAGAAGGUAGUGUUUGUUCAUAUGGUGUAAUAAUUCCAAUGGCUUUGGAACAAGAGUAAUCAUUUUUAAAUUAUCAUGACAGCUUUUUUUAUAUUCCCUUCAUUUCAUUUUAGUUGUCCUUCUUUCUAAAAAUAUUUAUUUUAAUUUAGUUAUCUCUUUUAAUAAAAUCAAGAGUAUUUUGUUAUAUUCUUCCAAUACUACCCUCAAUGUUAAAUGAUUAAACAAAGUAUAUUUACUCAAAUUUAUAUUUUUAAAGUAUAAUUAAUAAGGCUAAUUUGAUAAAAAUAAACCCCUAAUAAAUAUUUUCUUAAGGGGAGUGUCAAGUCAAAAAGGGCCAACUAUUUUGAAACGAAAGGAGUAGUAUCUUACUCCCUUCACCCGUCUAAUAAUACUUGUCCAAUAUACUAAAAAUUAAAUAAAUAUUUAAUAAUAUUUAUUUCAGUUCAAAAAUGAAUGAAUUUAUCCAUUUUUACACAUUUUAUUCUUAAUACUAAAUAGUUUCAUUAUCAAAUAUAUUUUUUAAAGUAAUAAAUUAAUUAUAUUCAAAGAAUGAGAUGAUAAAAUUAUCUUUAUUAUUUAUUGUUUCAUAAUCUGUGUCUCAUGUCUAGACAAUAGUGUGUACAUAAAUUAUUGGAUGGAGGAAGUAAAUCAUACUCCCUCCGUUUCAAAAUAGUUGGUUCUUAUUGAAUUGACAUUUUCCUUAAGAAAAAAAUUGAAUAGUGUUUCAUUUUUUCAAAUUAGCCUUAUUAAUUAUGCCUUAAAAUAUAUUUGAGUAUAUGUACUUUGUUUAGUCAUUUAAUGAUACAAUUAGUAUUGAAAGAAUAUAAUAAUAUUCUCUUUAUUUUAAAAGGUGACAACUAAACUUAAAAAUACUUUUAAAAGAGGAUUAACUAUUUGAAAAGGAUAAAAUAGUAAUUCAGUGCUGCUCAAUAAAAUGAAUAAUUAACUUAAUAUUAAUUUUAAUAGGAGAUCUUAUUUUAAAUUCUAACAAAGGUUAAAAAAAAACAUUAUCUGAUUUCUUUUGUCUGUCUAAAUUUUAAUGAACCUAGAAUGGCACCAAACAUAUGCCUAAACUAAACAUUGCAAGUUUUCAAAAGUAGAAAGUUAAGAGAAUGUUCAUAAAUUUUCUAUUCACAUUGCUUAUUUAAUUCAAUCAAUGUAAUUAUGUAAAGAGGAUUUCAUUUAUUUAAUGUAUUUAACUACUUUAGUAAAUUAUAUAAUAUGGUUAAAGUCUUAAAGAUCUUAUGAAUCCUAAUUUCUUUUUUAGGCAAAAUUUUAUUUUUUUUGUUUGAUAUAGUGAAGCAAACCCGUCAAUCAACCUUUAAUACUACUUAAUUAGUUGUAAAUUUGUUUAAUGCUGUUUCCACGUAGUCAAAAUUAAAGCACUUUGACCUCCUAAAAAUUCAGUACAACAAAGUUCACUUUAUAAUACACUUAAUUAACAACAAUUGAACUUAAAAAGUUACUUCCAAAAGAAUCACAGGAAGGUUCAAUAACACUUCUAAUAUCUGGUAACUUAUUACACAAACAUAAAAUAAAAUUAGCGAUGAACAAAUUUUGUAGCUAAAUAAUAAAAUAUUAUCAUUGCUCUCUAGAGGUAUGUGAAAAAUCGAACCGACCGAUAAAUCAAACCGAUAAAAAUGUUUUUGGUUUAUAUUUAUACUUAUUGGGUUAAUAAUUUUUUAAUGGUUUUAUAAAAAAAAAAUUAUUGGGUUAUUGGUUUAUAUAUAUAUAUAUAUGACUUAUUAUAUAUUUCUCUUAAUUUCUCUUUAAUUUCUUCAAAUUAACAAACCUAUUAUUUCAAUUAUACAAACUCUUAAUUUCUCCUAACAUUUAGUUCAAACUUGAAGAUUCUUGUAAAUUAAAACACAACAUGUAAGAUUUUUGGUUGCAACUAAGAUUAUUUUUUUUAUGUUAGUUACUACUAUUUCUAUUUUAUGAGUAUUUUCUUAUCGGUUAAAUCAAAAAUCGAACCGAUAAGGACUAAAAACCGAUAAAUCAAAAAUCAAUAAAAAAACAUCUUAUUGAUUUGGUUAUUGGUUUAGCAUAUUUAAAAACUAAAAAUCGAUAAACCGAACCGAUAAUAUAUAAAAACGAACUGAACCGACCGAUGCGCACCCCUAUUGCUCUCAUAUACUCCCUCCAUUCCAAAAUAAAUUGAAUUGUUCGGGUAUGGCACACCCCUUAAGAAAAAUCUUUUAACACAUAAAUUGUAGGUUAUUUUUCAUUAUUACCGUUUUAAUUGUUCUUAAAUUACUCUCCUAUAAAAUAUGAAGUACUUAAGAACCUCAUUAAAUGAAAGAGUAAAAUUGGAAGAAAUUUCCAACAUGUCUCUUAAGAAUGAACAAUUCAUUUAUUUUGAAUAGUAAAAAUUAGCUCAACAAUUCAUUAAUUUUGGAAUAGAUGGAGUAAAGUUGACAAAGGAAAAUAAAUUCUCGAUCAUAAAAAUAGGGAUAAGGCCUAUGUACACCCAUUCUUCCGGCCAAAUUCAACUUAUAAAAUUACACUAAAUAUAACGACUGAAUAGCAAAUAAUUAUAUUAGCUCACAGGGGCAGACCCACAUGCAUAGGUGGGGGUGCACGUGCACCCGUUAACAUCAAAAAAAAUUGGGUAUAUAUAUGUGUAUAUACCUUGAGAAAUUAGAUAUAGCAAAUAGUGCACCCAAAGAUAAAUGAUAGUGCACGUUAGAGGGCUAGUUGAAACCUGUGCUUCCGUCCACGCGAUCAGGGAUCGACCCAUGGGUCGCACGACACCUUAGUUUUUAUUUCAAUACUUCAAAUUUAAAAGGCAUAUUACUAAAUUUCAACAACAAUAACUACGUAGUCCUUACCGCUACCUCCGAGGAAAAAAUAGGAAGCGCCGCUACCGGGAUCGAACCCGGGUCACCCGGGUGACAGGCGACAUAUUACUAAAUUUAAACAACAAAAUUGCUAGACUAGGGAUUCGAAUCCACGACCAGUCCAUAAGGUAAAAACUCCUUGACCAUUGAGCUACCACAACUAAUUGCUCAAAACUGUUAAAAGUAAACUUCAUAUUAGAAAGUAAAGUUAUUGGCUUAAAACUCUUAUUUAUUCUAUAUAUUUAUUUUUUCAGUAUUGUUCAUGUCUUUGGCGACCAAUUGAAUAUGAUAAUAUCCCUUAAUCAACCCCAAAAGUUUUUCUAACGUCUUAAGAUAAUAUUGGUGCUCCACAAUAUUAUCAAAAGCAAUAAGCAUAAAAAAGCUUCAAGGUCUAUUGUGUUUAAGCACAAAGUACAAAUAAAGCGUAAGAUUUAACGAAAAAAGGCAUAAAGAUAGAAAAUAUAUAAAUAUAUGUAUAGUCCAAGACUAAUAAUAUAAGCAUGAAUGAUAAAUAUAUGAACAAAAAAAUUAAUUUUUUUUGAUAAAAUAAACUAUCAAUUGUUUAGUGUUCAUCUCUUCAGAAAGCCUCACUGACAAAGGAAAGUAUGUAUCAGAAAUUAGAACCUAAGCUGCACAUUAAGUGAGGCGAGCGCUCAACACAUUUUGAGUCUUACUUCGAAGGUUAUGUAUGUUUUUGACAACACUGAUGCACCCACAGACUUCAAAUCUUGGGUUCGCCUCUGUUAGCUCAACCAAUAAGUCAACUACAAUUAAUUAUCUUUUUGAUGUAUUAAUACCAACUUAAACUUGCUAGUUCAGUGACUAAUUUCAUCGGGCAUAUGUUAAUUGCCCAUUAUUUUUUUUAAUGACUUUAAGGAUUGACAAUUACUUUUCUUUACUUUAAUGAAUAGGGGUUAUUAAAGAUUUUAUUUGAAUAAAAUAAAUAAAGAAAUUAGGGGGGGAAAGGUAAAAAGAUUACAAAAAAAUAUAUGUUAUUCCUGAUCUAUGAAGGUUACGGUACUAGAAGUAACUAAUAUUUAAUAUUAGGUAUUUUGUUAUACUUUAUAUUAAAUUUAAAAUUAUUAAUUUUUUUGAUUAUUUAUGUUUACUGCUUUGGAGUUAUUAGAAGAAGAAUAUUAGAUAUGAUAUUUAUUAAAAGAAAAAUAAAAAGGUAGGAAAGUAAGAAGAAAAUAGCAAAAAAGAGAAAGACAUUAAAGAUUAAAAAAAAAAAAUGAAAGAGAGAAAAAAAUAAAAUAAGAUAAAAAAAUUGCACACUAGAUUCAUGUAAUUAGAUUUGGAUCAAAUAUAUAAACAAAUAGUUGAGUUCUAAAAUUUGUUAAAAAUAUGCACUAAAAUAAAUCAAGUUUUGUUGAAUUUUUUCUAUUUCUUUUAAGAAAAAUAAACUAUUUUUUCACUUACAUUGUAUUAUAUAAAAUUUAAGUAUUUUAGAAUAUUAAAAAUACUUAAGUGAUGAAAACUUUAAAAAAAUACACAUAUAAAAUUAAAGGCGAAAUAUAAUAGAUUAAGAUAAAACUUAAAAGUUAAAAAGAUUUUUUUUUUUUUUUAAUUUCAACACUCAAAAUUUAAUUAAUUUGCGUGAAACGCGAAUGAAUUCUCUAGUUAUAUAAUUAUAUAUAAAAAAAUUAUAUGUAAUUGAAAUGAACUCUCUCCCUUGCUCACUCUAGCAGUCUAGCUCGACUCAUCAUGCUUGACGUCCUGAGUCAAUUCAGCUUGGCUCAGUGAAUUGGUUAUAAAUUAUCUAACUUCAGCUAUUAUCACUGGUAUUAAUAGUAAUUAAUUACUAUGUCAAAUGUAAAACUGUAAUUAAUAAAUAGAAAUAGUUAAUUUUUGUGGUGAGUCGCAGCAGUUUUUUUUUUUUUUUUUUUUUUUUGGUUAGAACCAGAGAAACUCACAAUCUUUGUUCUUCGGGUGAGCACUUUGUGUUAAUGUUCUCACUGUGCAGUAGCUUGCAAAUCAUACAGGAAAUAUAAACGGUACUAGGCAAGCUCCAUGUGACGAGCUCAUGACUAAGCGGAAGACGGAGGCCAAUUGAAUUCGAUUCCGGAUCUCCCCAACCAUUCAACCAUGACUCACGGGCAAGUUAUUUUUCUAGUACUAUUCUAUAUUUCGCAUGUGAUCGAUCCAUAAAAUAUGCGUGAAAAGUUAUGAAAUAUGGCAUAAAAUCUAGUCAACUAAUUCGAAUGAAAAAAAUAGAUCUUGCAUAAGAACAAAUAUUAAAGUUCGAACCCAAGUUUUCAAAUAAUGUUACUGAGUUUAGUGUUACGCUGGGUCAACAAAUUAAAGAGGAGGAUUGUCAUGCUUUAUAAAUUUCUAAAGAAAGGGAACACAAGAUAUUUUAGGUAAAUAUCACAUCAAAAUAUGAGAGGAAAGAGAUUUAUAAAACAAUUAUACAAAUUCACAUGAUAAACAUAUAUUUUGAGUCUGAUGAUGACGCAAUUCAAGAUUCUUAAUCCAUCUCUAAAUAUUCAUGCUCUCAAAAAUAAAAUAUUCUUUUGUUGUGAGGCAUUUCAUAAAAGUUUUUUGAGCCAAAACAAACCAAUAUAACAAUUGAUAAUAGGCACACAAUUAGACGGUCAGAUAUUUGUUUCGAUGAAUUCAAUAAUUUUCGCUCACGUUCAUUUCUAUCUAUUGAAAAUAUACUAAGUACUAAUAAUUGAAUUCGAAGCCAGUAAAAUAAAUCAACGCCGUCUCAAUAAAAUUAGUGGUCUAAAAUAAACUUUUAAUAUGACGAUCUUAAAUAUAUACCCAUAACAAAAAUAUUAUUAAUAAUUUUGAGUUAUUUUUUUAUUCUUACAUACUACUUUCUUUAGUGUAGUAUUCACAUUAAGCAUUUAACUUCAUAAAGCAAUAUUAUUAUUUAUAAAAGUUAGAACUAAUUUUAAUUAAGAGUUAAUACGGAAAAAUGACCCUUAACUUGACAUCAAAUUAUAACUUUGACCUUAAACUUUGUCAGUGCACAAAUAUGACCUUUAACUAUUCAAAACUGCACAAAUAUGACCUCCAAUCCUACGUGGCAAAACGUCUGUUCAACACGCAAAACUGGGUGCGUCCAACUUAAAAUCUAAGGGUAUAAUACAUAAAUAUGACCUUAAACUUUGACAGUGCAUAAAACCUUUAUCUAUUCAAAACUAUAUAAAUAUGACCUUUAAAUGACUCUUCACUAUUAUUUUUUCAUUAUUUUCGACUCAAAGAUGAAAAUGACAUCUAAUUCUCUUUUGUCAUUGCGGAAAAAGACCAAUAUUGAAGAUUAUUAAUUAGGCAGGUCAACCUCAUACAAAAAAAUCGAGCGGGUAUGUAUAUAUAUUAUAAAGUAGAGGACGAAUUUAAGUUAUAUAAUAUAUCUAAAUAUUAUUUAUUUAAAUAUUAAAGAUGAAACUAUACUAAUAAUAAAAAAAAUUAUAGUUUUAAUAAAAUAUUNNNNNNNNNNNNNNNNNNNNNNNNNNNNNNNNNNNNNNNNNNNNNNNNNNNNNNNNNNNNNNNNNNNNNNNNNNNNNNNNNNNNNNNNNNNNNNNNNNNNNNNNNNNNNNNNNNNNNNNNNNNNNNNNNNNNNNNNNNNNNNNNNNNNNNNNNNNNNNNNNNNNNNNNNNNNNNNNNNNNNNNNNNNNNNNNNNNNNNNNNNNNNNNNNNNNNNNNNNNNNNNNNNNNNNNNNNNNNNNNNNNNNNNNNNNNNNNNNNNNNNNNNNNNNNNNNNNNNNNUUAUUAUUAUUAUUAUUAUUAUUAUUAUUAUUAUUAUAAUAAUAAUUAAAAAAAAAAAACGACGUCGUUUUAACACAAAAAAAAAAACUUUGACAGUGCACAAAUAUGACCUUUAACUAUUCAAAACUGCACAAAUAUGACCUCUCUCCAAGUUAACCCUUUUAACGACGUGGCACCGUGUGAUUGGAUUACCUUUCCACGUAGGCGCGAGUGAGACUCAUGCAUGGGGUUGCAAAAUCGAAGGUCAUAUUUGUUCAGGUUUUGAAUAGUUAAAGAUCCUAUUUGUGCACUAUCAAAGUUUAAGGUCAACAUUAUAAUUUAGUGUCAAGUUUAGGGUCAUUUUUAAGUAUUAACUCUUUAAUUAAUAAAAUAUUAGUCAUUUGUUUACAAUACAUACAUUACCUUGAAUAUUAUUGUGAAAACUUUAUUUAUUAAUAUGAAGAUUUGAUAAAAGUUUCUAAAAUACUUUUAAUAAAAAGUAGAUAAUUCAUUUUUUAAAAUUUAAACUUUGUACCUUUCAUAUUUACAAUCUUUUUUAUUAUUUAAGUGAAAUUAAAAUUAUAAAAUUCAUAUUAAAUUUUUUGGGAUCUCAGAAUUUUGGAGGCCUCAAGCAGAAACUUUACUGGCUUUACCCUUGAGUCACGCCUGAAAUAAAUGAUUUGGCAUAUAAAUAAGAAUUCAAACCUCGUAAAAUUUAAAUUAUAAAUUCGCGUCUCGACCUUAAUUAUAUAUCUACAUGCUUAGUAAGCUUUAGAACAUGCAUCAGAUUCUCUACCAAUUUUUUUAGGCAUUUGUUUGUGGACAACUACGAAUAAUUAUUUCCUUUUUCCCAUGGUAUAAAAAAAAACAAAGAAAGUUGGAGUUAAAAAGUUAAUUAAUAAGCUAAAUCUAUUCUUAUAAUUAAUCAUCUGAUUCGAACAUUAACAAACACAAGUUGGUACAAAAUCAUUUGCCAUGUUCUAAUUAUAGAAGCCAUGGUCAAAAGACACAAUAAAAGGAGGAGAAAAAAGAGAAAUUAUUAAUUUAAUAAUCUUUGUAAAUUAAAACUUGAUACACUUAUGAUUGGCAUUGACCAUGGAGUUAAGUGCAUGUGUCCCAACACAGAUUAUGGUGGGAUGAUCUGGGUUCCUCUGCCCUUCUUUAAUCAAAUGUCUCGGACUCAAGCUUCUCGGGACAGAAAAAAUCUUGUUUGAGCGUCGCCCUAGAAAAUAGGUCAUGCGAUGCUUGAAUUCAGAAUUGAUUGAACCUCAAUGUAGGUACUGGAUCUAAAAAAAACUAAAAAAAAAGUGCAUGUGUGAAAGCACAUAAUUAAUUAAUUUUUUAAGUUAAGCAUCAUUCUUUGCACAUUCAAUUGAGGCAGUUUUUCCAAUAAUUAGAUUCAGUUAAUGAGGUCAAUUGCUAGGAUUUGAAUGAAUGAGGACUUGUUUUGUACUAAUUAAGUCAAAUGUCUAUCAACUCUUUAUAACUCAAUUAUGUUAAGCAAUUAACUAGGGAAUACUCAAAAAUCUUUUCUUGUUUUUACCAAUUCCCUCUUAAGAUCUUCAUGUUGUCCUCAAUUUUUGAUGUUUCCUUUGUUUGCACAUCUUAUGUUGUUUCGUGAGGAAUGAAAAGAUAAGAACAUAACUUAAAAAAAAAAUAAAAAAAUUGUGUGUUUGCCUCUUUUGGAAUUUGUAUUUGAGACCUCGUGGCGUUCAACGAAUUUCAUUGAUUGCUAGGUCAUAUUCUUGGGUGGUUUCUCAAUUACCGUGGUAUCUGAAUCAGCUUACGUACAGCUCGACUAUACAGGAUACCAACUACCUCCCACCAACAAUACAUAUCAUAUAACUUUGUCGUCCACCUAACCAGGAUGAAGUAAUUAUUUGACAAAUAGAAGUAUGAAAAUCUUGGUUGUUGAAUGAUGAACUUUUCCUUUUAUAGAACUGUAAUAUCACACGACAGUACAUUAUAUUAAAUUGACGAUCAAAAUAUAAGUUUGAGACUAACCGCGUUUGUCAUUAUAUAUUCAUCAAACAAUUAUUUUUCCAAGUCAAUCAUAAAAUGUGAUAUACAAAGCUCUAUGCUCGAGACCAAUUAAAUAAAGGGGUACUACGAGCCCUCUAUCUAAUGCAUCUAAUCAAUUUGUCUUGUUGGCUUACUUUCAUUGACUAGAUCAAAAGAGUGGUAAAGUAAUUUUGUAUAUAAAGGUAUGAAUUUUAGGAUAUAUAUAUAUAUAUAUAUGAAAAUGUAUAUAUCGAUCAAAAUGCAUUUAUCGACGUAUUUAGUUAAGAAAAUCUUAAAUUAGAAGAGGCGUUACAUAAUUUUCUUCACAUAUUUUUAUCAAGUUUAGAUAGCUCAGCCGAUUAGAGCAAAUUAAUGAUUAAAAAUCUCAAUGUCAGUGAUUUGAAUCCACUUUCAAGCAUAUGAAAUUCAAAUCAUAUAUAGUCGGAAACAAGUCAAAUUUAAAAAUAAAAGAAAAGAAUAAGUAAAAAAAAUAUGAACGCUUUUACACUUAGCGAUAGGAUUGAGGACUGAGGUGACUUGUUUGAGGCAAAUCGAUUAUGCUUAUCAAAUAUCAACACCUAAUUGCCUUAUAAGUGACUCAAUUUUAUAAAUUUCUUCACUCAUUCUUUUAAUCCAAAUAAAAUUGUCACUUUUUUUUUUUCCUUUUUUCAUAAAUUACAAAGUCAUAAAAUGGAAUUUUGUCAUAAAUGUUGGUGAACAAUACCAUCAUGGAAUAACUUGUUCUUCAAUCAUUUUUUUCCUUUCUUGGGGAAAGUACUUUUUUUUCUUUUGGUCUCACAAUGUAUUAAAUUUCUUAACUAUUCAUUGAAUUAAGAUGAAAAAAUAUUACAUAUAGCAUUAGAUUUCUAACUUUUGUUUUGAAGCCAUUUCUAGAUUUCAUAUUCAAAGGACAAGUUUUCACAGGUCCUUUUAAUUGAUCUAACAUGUCUCAAUCCAAAGAACCUAAAUACACUCUCAAGUUAGAUUCAAUUUAAUUUCCCAAGAACAUUAUUUUGCCCCACAACUAUUAAAUUAAUAAGUUGGGAUAAUAGCAUUUUUAGUCCUUAAAAUAUAGGUAUAUUUUGAAUUUAAUCCCUGUGAUAUGAGCUUCUUCAUUCUCUAUCGAAAACAUCCGCUUGACCUCUCAAGGUAAUGAUUAGGUAUGCGUACAUACCACCUUCUCUAUACGGCUAUACCCCACUUGUAGGUUACAAAAAAUAUGUUGUUGUUGGUCCUUGUGAUAUCUGACGAAGCAUAUUUGAUCUUCAAUUCAUUGUAAUGUGUACUUCUACUCCUUUUACGUAAGAAGUAUGGUGUAUUUGAACUGCUUUUAGAAUAAUAUUGCCGUCAAAUAUGGAGUAAUAGGACAAGUUUAGCAGUUAACAUACUACAUGGUUAAUUGGAUGGUAGAACGAACGACUAACAAUUAAUUGUAAGUUAAAUUUAUGAAUAUUCACAAGCAUGGAAAUCAAAAAUAGACAUUUCAAUUAUUGAAAAUUUAAUGUAUAUUUAACAUUCAAUUAAUCGAGAUGUGUGAUUUUAGUCCUGAAUUACUUAUGGAACUAUAUGGCAUCAACUAUGAAGUAAUAGUAUAAGCUUAACAUGACACAUGAGUAAUUAAGGGGUGUAACGAGUAAUAAUAAUAAUAAAUUUGUGACUUUUCACAAGUAAAGGAAACAAAAGUGCACAUUUCAAAUAAUCAGGGGUUAAAUGUGUUUAAUCAGACAUUACAAGAAUCAAAAUUGAAAUCUAUCAAUAAUUGAAGGACCAAAAGUGCUAUUAACUCUAAUAAGUUAAUAAAAAAAUUCUUAUAAAAAUAUUAUUCACUUGUUUAAUUGUACUAUAAUAUUAUAUAUUUUAAUGCAACUAACUCCAUAACUGUAAUAACUGAAACCCAUUAAAAUAUUUUAUAUAUUUAUAUCAUGUGAUAAGUCAAAUUAAUAAAAUGUCCGUAAAAUAAGAUAUUAGGGAAUCAAUUAGAAAACAUGGAAAUUCAUGUGAUCACACAUGACCCUUAGAAGGGUUAAUCUUUGAGAUUAUUGCUUAAGUUAAAUUAGUCAAUGACCUUAGACUUAAUAAUAUUUAACAUGGCAUUUGCAGCUAAAAUUAAAUUAAUUUGGUUAAUAAUUAUGAAAAGAGUAUCCAUUAGGAAUUAAUUAAUCUUUAGUUUUUGUCUUAUGUGAAGGAAAAAAGUUAUAGUUAUUUUUAUCGCCUAUCGCAAACAAAUCGAUUCCAGGAGUGAACACUCAUUCGUGAUCUUAUACUUUCUAAAUAAUUUUGAGAAUAAAUAUACGUUCUCUACAUUAAACAUCCUUAUUUCUUCUUGUUCAAGGUUUUCUAGAACCGCAAAACUAUUUAGACUAAUUGUAAUUAGUAUUUGAAAGAGGUAAAGGGACCAAAAAAGAUUUUCUAUCCACCAUCCAUCAUAAAUUAAAAAAGAAAUAGGAAGAAGUUAAUCAUGUAUAAUUGAGAUGCUUAUUUGGUAAUUAUUGAACGUUAUAUAAAUUAAAACGAUUUGAAGUAUAUGUUUAAUAUUCAUUAUUACACAAAUAAAUCUCAUAAUGAAAUCCCAAAUUAUUUUAGGACCACAUAAAUAUGCAACAAAAUCAUAAAGAAUUAAGUCAAAAGAUAUGGAUACCUCUACUAUAUACACUUGAAACUCAAUUCAUCACUUAAGUAUAGUAAAUUAGUGUAAACAUUCAAUAUUACGUGAUUAAGUUGUUUCAUAUAACAAACUUUAUGACGGAGAAGAGAAGCAAUACAGGAACGAUGAUAUAGGACUAUAGGUAUUUAGACAUGCAUGGCAGAGCGCAGUUAAACUGAUUAUGUUUCGACUUUUUCUUCUAUUUAUAUUCAUACGCAUAUUAGCUGAGCAAUCUGAAGUUCUACAUCGACCUUUGUGUUCGUUCAUUGUUUCCUUUUGAGAUUUAAUGGCCUUGGAGAAUUAAAAUAAAUUCAUUGUAUUAUACGAGUAUUUUGACAUGUCCUCGUUUGUGAUAACGGAUAUAUUUGAAUUCUAACAUAAACAAUGGAUAAUUUACAAGAAUGAUCACAGAAAUUAGUGGUCUUGAAUUUUUAUCGUGUUUGCUCAUGAGCAAACCUUCAAGAUCAAAAGUCAAAAGUUCGUUGCUUUAUUGGGCUUGUAUUGGAUUGUUAUCAGCUAUCACUCUAGUAGCAACAGAAAUGAAGCCCAAUAAUAAGUAGUCCUCAAGUGUAAGCCCAUUUCUUUGGGCUUCUUUAUUUUUGGCCCAUGGGCCAAACUUAAUUGACUAAUUAUGUAUAGUAUAUGUAUAUUGUAUGUAUAUUUAUGCUAAAAUCGAAAAAAAUCUAUAUAUUAACUGGCUAUUUUCUAAAUUAGAUCUAACAUAUCAAAUGAUAAUUUUGAAUUUGAUCUUUCUGAAUACAAGAUUAUAGAACCUGAAGCUAAAAGAAGAUGAAAAAUGUCACAACAACAACAUAUCCGGUAUAACCCCACAAGUGGAGCCUGGGUAGGGUGGUGAAUGGUGGUGUGUGCACAGAUCUUAUCUCUACGUUGUCAAGUAGAGAUGAUGUUCCCGAAAGAUCCUCGACCCAAAUAAAGACAUAAGCAAUAACAGGAUAAUAAGAAAAUCGAUACGAAAUUUUUUUAGAGAAACGGACACCUUUAUGCUUAGGGGGCACUGAAUUGGCCAUUUUGCUCUUACAAUAAUAUUGUACUCCAUUUAGUCCUUUGUUACAAAGAAUCUAUAGCUAAUGAAAACUCUAAAAAAAAAUGGACAAAAAUGAGACAAAUAAAGAAGAAUAAAGACUAAAUAGAACUUUACAAGCUCUAAGUUGGAAAACUUCUUCCCUUAUCCCCCUUCUCCUAUCUAAACUAGACCUACAAUUUUACAAGAAGACUACAUUUGAGCAACUUUACAAGGGGCAUUGGAUGUUACAGUAUAAGGAAAAGACGCGUCUCGAGGGAAAAUGAAAUGAAUUGGUUGAUAUGGAUGUACAAUAGUUGAUUGAUAUUCAUGGCGUGGGAACUUGAACGGCGUCCUUCCAACAAACAUGCAUGCAUGCACUUACUUUCUGCUAGACAAACCUCAGCCUUAUUCACGUAAAAAUUGGAAGGCUGCGUGUUGAAGCAGUUCGUUUGCAGGUUUUACACCGGUAAAAUCAACAUCCUUGAGGGAACUGCUAAUGUCCUCGACGGAGAUAGGGAUGCUGCAUUCGAAGCAGAUAGAUGAAUGAUAGAACAGGAUCUAUGUCAUUUGACCUAUGUUGCUCGGACUCUCAAAAAAUGUUGUUGUAUCCUCCAAAAAUGCGUUACUCUUGGAGGAUCUGACAACCACCUGUCGCUAUUUUUGAAGAGUCCGAGCAACAUAGAUUUUGACAGAAAAUGGGAUUAGUGACGUACCUGGAACUAUCAUCCAAUAUAAAGUGGUUCUUAUCUGCAUCAUUCGCGUCUUCUUUUGAUUGAUCCUUAAAACUGGAAAUGACCUGUUCCGAGCAGCAUGGUUUAGGAAGCGAAUGCAGUAAAGUUGAGUUAAGCUUUGCCAUUGAGAGAGAGAAUCAUUAAUUAAAGCUAAAGUUCAGCAUCCUCGAUAGAAGAAAAUAAUCAGAAAAACAGUUGGAGGAUGUAACCAAUAUCUUAUAUCGAUGUACAUUAGUUGACUAGCAGAUCAUCUCGAAGAAGCAUUUCUUAUAUACACAAUUAAUUUAAGACAUUCAGUGAAAUAAAAUAGAAGCUGAAGAAAGGAGGACUCACAUCUGGGGAUACACCUUGAGUAUUAAAAUCUUCAUCCCAGUAAAGUGUACAUAUCCGAUACAACUGUUGAGUACUAAGAAUCUGAAAACAUGAUCCCAACGAAAAAGACUAUCAGUGAAAGAUGCACAAAUGCUACAGCAGGANNNNNNNNNNNNNNNNNNNNNNNNNNNNNNNNNNNNNNNAAGGGCGCAUAUUGUAACAUGAAGAUAAACUUCAAAACACCAUCUUAACUCUGGAUAUAAUUCAUUUAAGUCCCUAUCGAUCUAUACACACUUCACAGCUCUCCGAUAGGAUGCUUCGUGCUAGUACUCAAAUAACUAAAGGAGUAUGAACUGCCAUGUAUUAUCAAUAUUUGAAAUCUCUAAAUUAAGUACAAGUAAGAAGACAAUGAAGAUGAACUUACGGGGCAGAGAUCAGCUGUUAGAUCUUCCAAUGUAAGUCUUGACUUAUGAUUAAUAACCUGUAAAGGAGCUAUUUAGACAGGGCAAAGUAUAUCGUAGAGGUCAGGUGAUAAUCUCAAAUUGGGAGUUAAAUGUCCAUAAAUGUGGUGUUACUUGCAACAGAAAGCGCUUCCGCAAAAUCAUACUUGGACUUAAGAAGAACAUUAUUAGCCAACGAAGCAGAGUAACAUUUUCCAAAAAAGAAAAAAAAGAUUCAUAUUGAGAGAUAUACUUUGCCCGUUCAAAGAGGAGAAACAUACCAAAAAUCCUACUGCCUGCCUCGCAUGCUUUAGUUCAUCCAAAGAAGAACCAAUGUACUGCGAAGGAAAAGUUAAACAUAUGUAAAUGCAGUUCAUGAUACCUACUAUUUACUAGCAAUGUACCGUUACAGUUCUAAUGAUAGAGUACCUCUUCUUUCACCUUGCCGCACCAAUGUUCUAUUUCUUGCAAUCCAGCUUUUACAUACUCCCCGUUGCUGAAUGUACAGAACUCUCUUUGAAGGAGAAGGCUGCAAUGAUAUUUAAGUAAUAUGGUAAUUAGAGUAUCUAUGACUUUCUAGCUAAGUCCUGCUAUGAGGUACGGAAAAAUGUACCUAUUGAAAAGCUGAACAUUUAUGUAAGAGAAUAUCUGGUUUAGAAUUUUCUGGAUGAAAACUGGAUGAACCUGAAAAUAUUCGUAAGUCCACUCAUUAGUUUAUAAUAAUAUUAGCACAUCCCACUAUUUCCAACAAUGAAAACAUACAUAUUUUUCUUUCAGUGUACUGAGAAGCCCGUUUAAGCUCUCAAUUACGCCAUCCCAGGGAGUGGAUGGGGAAGGACCAUCGACAGACUUCCGUGGUGAUUGCGACGAGCCGCCUUUUGAUGUUUGUGAUGCCUAAUUAAGAUGGGAAAGUACAAGUAUAAUUAGAAGUUUGAAUAUCUGAAGUACAAAGACCAUAAUCCUUUUGAGUCAAAAUAUGAAUUAGUUGGAAGCACAGCAGUUUAUCACAAUUUUGAGAUCCAAUACACAUGUUCUGAAAAGGCCAUGGAAUCAAGAUAAACCAGAAUCCUAAUCAAAGCAACAGUGAAUAUGGUGCAGUGAGUUAUUAAACGAUACAGGAGCCCAACGAAUCCUUGUGAGCUAGCGAGAGCCGAGAAGUGCAGUUUGAGAAGAGAACUUACUCGAGAGAUAUUUUUUUAUAAACAAGCACCGAAUGUUGUCAUUCAUAUUGUUCAGAGUCCAUACAUACAUUGUCAUAGAACUUCUAGAAAACAUCGCGAUUUACCUCGAUACAUGAAGUCAGUAGUGAAGACAAGUCCCUUUUCCAGUUAUCUCGAAUAAUUCCAUAAAUCUUUUCGACAUAAGCACUGAGCUGUAGCUUAAAAAGUAAAGCUGGCUGCUUUGCCUCAACCUGUUGUACAGUGUCGAGACCACCAAUUGCAAUGUUGGCAGAUGAAGACCGGAAACUCUAGAAAAGAAGUACAAUCACUUUAUCAAUAUAUUUUCUGAAUAAAUCUGCUGGAAGUCUGUUUUGAGUAACUGCAUAUUCCUCAUUCUAGGCUACUAGUGUUUUAUACAGAGAUACUUACUAAUGUCAAGCCAAUGAAACUGUAAACAAGUAACAUUUACAUGGUCUUGCUUGGAAAUUCGCAGGAUACAAGUACACAAACUAUUAGAAAGUAAGGACAACACCAACAGGUUGCAACCUAAUAAGUAAGUCAAUGGUGAAAUAAAUGUGAGUGUAUCUUAAGUAGCGUAUCACACCUAUAUAUUAGUGUAUGUUGUAUUUUCAUACUAACCAAGAUGGAAUCAAUAUGACUUGUUCUCCUUACUCCUUCCUCUCCAUUAGAAUCUUCAUCAUUGUUGAACCUUAUAAAAGUUAUUUCCGCUUACUAGUGCGGUGUUGCAUAUAAUUCACUUCCUCUUCCAACCUCAAGUGGUUUCACCCUUAUGAGUUUGAUGGACGUGUUCGAAAGUCAAGGACCGAACACAAACUAAUACAUAAGUUAAACAGUGCAAUAAAUGCACCACUGUAAUUUUGUAUAUUAUGUUCCUAAUCAGUUCUGCUUUUCAAAUAAUAUAUCCACACAUGUUGAUACAGUUAGCUCUCUCUAUUAUCUCUCUUCCUCCCUCAAAUCUUCAACAUCAACAGUAGCAUCAGAGAUACGUCCAAUUUUGUUAAGUAAAAUAACAGGGAAUUCAAAGAAUAACUGUAGAAACUUUCAAUAGAAGUGCUUUCAAAUACACAAAGUAAUACCGCAAAAGAUACAUUCAACUACUUCAAAUAUGAUAGUGUCUUUCAGUAAUCUUAUGUCACUCAGUUUAGGUUAGAUAAAAUAAGAGGGCGCACGCACAAACUUUAAUUCAACAGUUUAAGGACCACAUUUAACAAUAGAGAUGAAGUAAGAAUCUAAAUACCUGCCGCAUUCUACCAAAAAAUGAUGUUGGUUGGGGCGGUUUUUUUGGAGCUGAAUCAGCAGUUUUCAGCGUAUGCUGAAGCAAAAACAACAAUGUUGCACUAUUGGACAACCAAUAAGCCAUGUGAUUAUUGUUUGUCUCAUCCUGAAAAUUGAUAUAAAACGAGCAUGCGUGUAUAUCAUGAGUUAGAGAGACAGCAUUUUCAAAAUGAUGCAUUUAUGACAUAGCAGUACAAUACAGGCUAGUGUGUAUUUCACUGAUGUUAUCAAGAACUCGUACGAAUAGAUACAGCAUGACCACUGAUUUUCGACGUGAUAUUGAAAGUUACCUCUAUCGAAGAACCAAUCAUCUGAAUAAGACGAUCAAAUACAUUAGUUUUAUCUGCUUCAAACGAAUUCCAAUGAAGUAGGCAUUUGUAUAUGGUAAAUGCUGCCACUGGUUUCCCUUCACUGAACCCUAGAUCUUGACUGACACAUUUGAUAAGGAUAUCCACACUCUCCUGCAACAUAAUGUUAAAGAGGAUAUUAGCCACAGCACCACCACAUUCAUUCACAGGAAAAUGGAGGAAUAUUUCCCGCGCUGAUGUAUAAUACCUGUGUGAAUAAAACUUCUCAAAAACUAAGUAGCACGAAAUUAGAAAAAUAACUCAAUGUUUUUUGUAUUCAUGGGAAACAGUAUAUAUACAACUUCAUCUUUAAGCAUUGCAUACACACAAAAAAUCAUUUUACCCAGUCCCCAGGGCUUAGCUCACUUGGCAAAGGUACAGGAAUUUGAAGCUUAGGUCACAAGUUCGAGACCAACACUAAGCUAUCUAAGCUUACUGUUUAAGUGGAGAAGGUUAGAGGGCAACCCCAUCAUCCCUGAGUUUCCAAGGUUGCGGUUGGUCCUAAAGUUGACUACAGACGGAUUUCUCGUUAUCAAAAAAUAAUUAAAAAAGCAUUCUACCCAGGGUUUAGGACUAAAAGGGAACUCCAUUGAUAAACAUUUUUACGCAUCUAUGUCCUUCCGAUACUAUCUUCCGCAGAAGACUUGCCAGCUUUUUUUAGGUAUACCAUAACUUCUGAUGAAAAAGAAAAAUUGCAAGGAAGGUAAUUUUCAAGAUGCAUCAAGAGAAGUUCUGAGUGUGUCUGCACUCUUUAUUUGUUCAUUUCUUUAGCUGCCAUUACACGUUGAUUGUUUUUAUCCAAGAAAUAGCCAAUGAACAAGGAAGUAUACAAGGGAUCAUAAAGGAAUAUAAAAUUGGAAGGAUUUGGACCCAUCCCCCACCAGAAAAGGAAAAAAAAGGUAAACUGUAUCAACCUCUUAGCAACAUCACAGAAAAGAAAUUCAAUUGGUCCUCUCUUUUCCCGACUUCUCAUUGAAUCGAAGAUAAUGUUUAAUCCUGGUUUUUCUUUCAGGAAAGAGGACUUUGACUAAGUCAUCAGCUCGUAAUCUGUGAAUCUCAGUUAUUCAAUAGAGUUCAAACCACAAGCCUUGUAAAAGAUGUUUUUAGGAACUCUAAUUUUUAGAUAUCUUGUCCGAUAUAUUUCUCAAAAAGUACUAAACUCGAGAAAGAUGUCAAACAGAAAAGGAAAUCUGUUUGAAAAAUAUUUGAUCACUUCCUAGGUACAUACCCGCUGCCUUUCAGCAGUGGACCUCCUCAUAGACUCUGUACCAAUCAAUUUUGCUUGUGCUCCAGUACCAAACUUUCUUGAUGGAAUUGCAGCCAGUGGUUCCUGUACAUAUAUAAUGUUAUUACCGACGUUAUGCAAAGCAUAAACAUGACUGUCACUCCCUCCAUCCCAGUUUAUGAGACUGUAAUUGAGUGUACACAGUGUUUUAAGAUGUUAAUUUAACUUAUAUGUUGUACUAGUGAUAGUCGAAGAAAACAUUGGAGUAAUAGUUGAAAUGUUAGCUGAAUGAGAAAAUAUCAUCUCAAUAUUUAAAACUUGAAUACUUAAAUGAAUUUGAAUUCGUGAAAAUAAUGAAAGUUGUCACGUUUUGGGAUGUUAUAACAUGACAAGAGUAUCAUACAAGUUGGGAUAGGGGGAGUAUAUAACAAAGCACUAAAUAGGUGAAUCCUUCACUUACAUGAUGACCGUUUUCAGUAGGCUGCAGUAGGAAAACAGAAAAAAAAAAAAAGUGACAACGUGCUCAAGAAAGCUAUGAAAAAAAGAUUGGUGUUUCUAUGACAUCAGAGGCAGAGUUUUUACUGAAAAACGGCUUGAAGCUCUUCCAGUAGGUAAAUGUAACGCUUGCUGUCGAAGAAUCUGCUGGUCUUCUAUAUCGGAAAGUUUCUCUUCAAGCCUGAGAUACACAUGCAAAGUUAAACAAGACAUUCAAGCUAACUAAUUCACAUGAUAAAUAAUCCCAGAUUUUAACUUGUACAAAUACAAGCAAUAUUGUAGAAUCCCGGAUUUCAACUUGCUCAUCUGUUCAAACUUUGCUCUAAAAGAAGAAGAUAUAAAAGAAAUCGGAGAACAUACCGAAUCAAUAAACAUGGAUUCAUUAUCUACUUUGACAUAUUUCGUCGAACGGAUUUGACUAGAUUGAACUGGAAUUUGAACUUUUACCCAAAAAGUUCAAUUUUCACAAGCUAAAAAGCCUCUCAAGAAGACUGACUGGGUUGAUAUCGUGAACAACAAUUAAAUCGGGCUUUGGUAUUCAAUGCAGGUCCAGAGGUAAUCCAUGAUCUGGUUCUUCACGAAAAUGACUCUAGUUACCAAUAUAAACUUAACAACUGAUUGAUCUAACAAGGUUUUUUCAAGCUUGAUCCACAUGUUGUGACAUGGGUAUGGGUAUGUCGAUAAAAUAUUGAAUUUCAGCUUAAGACAAACGGCUAGCAUAUCUAAACGACAUGCAAAACCAUAU